AAAAGAUCUCUUUAUAAUGUAAAGUAAGAAGGGUUUCUUAUCAAUCAAGGCAGAUAGGUUCUGAGCAGUCACCUCCUAAAGCAGUCCCUUUUUUAUGGCGGUUUGGCUCUUUUUUUUUUUUUUUUUUUUUGUAUUUUCUGAAUGGUUCCCUGUUUCCUGCUCUAAUUUAGAAAGCGUGAUCCGUGAAUUCCUUGAGAGAUGGUGUAUUGAUUUGGAGCAAAAUCUCGAACACAGAUGGGUUUUUGAUCUUCAAUUGGCAGUGUUUCAGAGACGUCCCUCUCACAUUUUAAACUUUAGUUGGAAUUGCUGACUUUUUCAAAGUUGAGCAAUCACGUGGGUGUGUCUUUGAUCCCUUGGGUUUGAACCUAACAAAAAUUACGGGCUGAUCUUUGAAGCCCAUUUCGAAAGUUUCCACAUUUGGGCUUUCUUUGGGCUGAGGCUUCGUUUUCAACAUUUCUGGUGUGAAGCCCAAUCUGUCUGGAUCCUAUUUUUUUAUUUUUCUCAAGUCUUUGGGCUGGGCAGGCAAUUUUAUCAUGGGCCUGUCUUUUGGAUUUGGGCGUGCCGAAUUUGGGCCCAAACAGGAACUCAAAAUUGGACUUUCGAAAACUGCAUUGCAGUUUUGGUAAUUACAAUUGGAUUUUUGCUCUUUCCUUGGCCUUCAACCUCACCAAUUUGAAGAGUAGAGGCUACCCAUAUGAGGAAUUUGGUGGGUAAGAGAAGAGUAGAACUACCCAAGAGCGACGUAACUCAAAAUUGGACUUUUAGAAACUGCAUUGCAGUUUUCAUUUAAUUACAAUUGAAUUUUUGCUCUUUCCUUGGCCUUCAACCUCACCAAUUUGAAGAGUAGAGGUUACCCAGACGAGGAAUUGGGUGGGCAAGAGAAAAGUAGAACUACCUAAGAGCAAGGGAACUCGAAAUUGGACUUUUGGAAACUGGAAACUGUAUUGUAGUUUUCAUUUAAUUACAAUUGUUUUUGUAGCUGUUUUUAUUUUUGUUUUUAUUUUUAACAUAAUUGAUAUCUACAUUGUAUUUUUGUUGUAGUUUCUCUUUUUAUUUGCAGUUUUUGUGUGAAUAAGUGUUGCAAUGAUUUUUAUUUUUAUUUUUAAAAAUCGUUGAUUGUUUAUAUAAAUAUUGUAUAAUCGAAUAAAUAUUGCAAAAUCAAGUUUGGUGUAGUGGUUUGUGAGUGAGCCUUACUCUUUUGAGGGUCAAGGUUCGAGUCCAUUCAAUGACACAAAAUCUUUUUUUCAAAGGUGAAUAAAGAGCAACGGAGGCAGACGGUGGCAGGCCGUCGACGGGUGGUGGUGGCCGGCGACGAGAAUACGGUGGUGGCGGCUGGCGACAGGAGUUUGGCAGUGGUGGCCUACGGCAGGAUUCGGAGACGGUGGCCUACGGCAGGAUUCGGCGACGGUGGCCGGCGGUGGUGGUUGGUGGUGAGAUUCCGACGGUGGUGGUUGGCUAGAUAUGAACAUGUGGCAUAAUAUUAUUGCCUUAGAAGGAGUGGCAUUUUGUGUAAUUUUGAUAUUUUUUUAAUGAUAUUUUUGUUAAAUUAGGUAUUACAUUUGGUCUUUGGCCUUAUACUAAUUAGAUGAAAUUGUAUUCGUAUUUUCCAAAUUAGUAAACUCUAUUGUGUUUUAAAACUAAAGCUCCCUUUAUAUAAGGUGUGUGUGUUUGUUUGUUUGUUUGUUUGUUUGUUUUUUUUUGUCUUUUUUAAUCAAUUUCUUUUUUCUUUUCUUUUUUUCUUUUGGGUGUGAAUGGCCGAUUCAACAUUAUUCAAUUUUUCAAUUGGACAGAUUUCUAUUUAUUUAUUUAUUUCAUGCCCAACAAAUUGACUGAUAUAAACACCACAGCUUUUUUUUUUUUUCAUCUCAGAUUUGUAUUUAGUUCCCUUUCAACAUACAAGAGAUGCAAGUAUACAUCUAAUUUUAUACCCAGCCAAGUAGGUCCCAUAACAGAAAAGCCAAGAGAGAGCAGAGAGGAAAACUGCCUAAAAUAUGGGGAAGUUAUUAAAAUGGCUGGUCUAGAGUGUGGCUGAGAUUUAUUAAAAUGGGGAAGUUAUUAAAAUGAUGAAAAUGUACCAAGUUCUUCUCCAACAAUUCUCUAAUAUAUGGCCAUAUUUCAUUCAAAUUGAAAUAUGAAACUAACAAUUACAAUGAUCAAUUGUGAAAAAUAAAUUCAUUUCAAAACCCACGGUUUAGAUUAAUUUUAUUUAUAUCAUAUUGAAUGCAAUUAUAUCUUAUCGAAAAUUUAAAAAUUUUAUGUCGAUUUGUUUAGAAAAAAUAAUUAAACCUAAAAUUGCUAAUAAAUAGUAGGAAAAUCAGAAAGAAAAAAAAUGCCCCUAAAAUUGCUUUGAGCUACUUGUGACGUUAUAAAACUAGGGGAAUCUAAAACACAUCCAUUUCAUUAUGAAAAAAUCCAAAGUGCUUUUGAUAACUCACUUUCCUCGAUAUAUCCCUAUUAACUUCAACUUGAAUAACCUACAUAAAUUAAUAUCUCUCAAAAAUGUUUGGAAUCAUUUUUAAAAGCAGGAAUGUGGCAAGUAGGACUGACGUACACGCGUCUAGCUGUUGAAGGACAUGUGCUCAGGUCCCGCAAUGUGUGGCCUUUUGCUUAUUUUGCAUUUUGUAAUGCAAAAUUCUUUAUAAAAAAAAUGAUGAUAAAUAGUAGGAAAAUAGAUAUUAAAAAAGCCCCAAAAAUUGUUCCGAGCUCAUUGUGAGAGGGAGAGUUGAAGCGCGCAUGCAGCCGGGGAGGCGGCGGCCACUUCCAUCGAUCGUAACUUCUUCGUUAAAACUCUGAUUUGAGCCCAUUACGUGUCUACGAACUCGUAUCUAUGUGUUCUACGCCACGAUGCUACUCAAAUCCUCAAAUUCUUUCAAGAACAAAAAGUCAACUUCUAAACCCAUUAAAAUAUUCUCACGGUAAAAUUGUCUUUUACUUGAAAAUUUUAAUAAUUAAAUAUUAAUUUAGGAUUGAGUUAUCAAUGUGGGUGGCAACACUUGGUUGUGCCUGCUUGGUUUGCUAAUCUCGGUGGCAACAUUUGGCUAUCUUUUUUCAAAUUUCAUUUUGGAGUAGAGGUAUGGAAAAAGGCCUGAAGAUGAGCUACGCAAAUUCUGUAAUUUUCUGCCUUUUUCUCUUUCUGGGUUGUAUGUGAAUGAGUUUUUGUCAAAUUACGUGCUGAUUUUGUUUUUUUUAAACAUGUAUGUAUUGAUUAUUGUUCUCCACUCUGAGAUUAGGAAGCUCAAUCGUCUAUGGCGCCCAUGGGAGAGAAAAAUAAAAUUACUUCAAUUUAAAUUGAUAUUAAUUUUUUCAAAUUUUUACUUUUUAAAUUUAAUUUAAUUGUAAGAUUUUCCUUAAUUACUUUAAUUUAAAUUGACAUAUUCAAAAUAAAAUUACAUAUGAAAAAUAGUGAUCAAAUUAUCCAAUAAAUAUAAAUAUAUAUUCAAAAUGUACAUAUAAAUUAACAAAGUACAAUAAUAAAAUCCUAAUACAAGCGCAUUGUGGUGGUAGUGGCGGAGGAUAUGUUUUGAUAGCUUCCUAAUCCUCAACUUUAGCCGUCAAAGUCUCGAUGAUUCCCUACAAAAAAAUAAAUAUAGUCAAAUAACAACAACAACAACAAAAAGAAUGCACAAUCUCCCCUAAAAUUGUUAUACCACAAAUCCAACCCAAACUCCAAUCUCUCCCCUUUACUCAACCCCAAACCCCACACAAACUCAAAACUAACUCCAAAAACACAUAUUAAUGAAAAAAAUUUAAAAUUUGGAGAGAAUAUACCUUUUGGCAAGAUUGAGAGUGAGUGAGAAUGAGAGGGAGAAGUGAGUGUGAGAGAAUUAGAAAAGAUAGUGAUAGAGAGAUGAGAGAGUGAGAGAUAGUGAAAAGAUAGAUGAGAGAGUGAGUGAGAGUGAGAGAUAGUGAAGAUAGAGAUGAGAGAUUAAGUGAGAGGAGUUAGUGUGAGAGAAAGGGUGGGAUUUGGGGAAAGGGAAAGAGAGAGGAGAGGUAAGAGUAGAGAAAGAAAUUGAGAAAAUGGUGGAGGAGUUAUUUCAGUUUUAAAAAUCGUAUCACUUUGCGCGACGAAAAUAUGGUUGGUCGCGCAAAGUUUUGCGCGACGAAACAUAUUGGUCUCGCAAAGUUUUGCGCGACGAAUAGAGGAAUAUUGGUCGCGCAAAGUCUAAAAAAAUUAUUUUAAAAAAAAAAAAAUUCCCGCAUCCCAUUUUUGGUACCCGCCAAAAUUUUUAAAUUUUUGCGCGACGAAAAAUACUUAUUGGUCGCGCAAAGUCUAAAACAAUUAUAUAUAAAAAAUUCCCGCGGCCCAUUUUUGGUACCCGCCCAAAUUUUUGCGCGACGAAAAAUAUAUAUUGGUCGCUCAAAGUUUUGCACGACGAAACAUAUUGGUCUCGCAAACUUUUGCACGACGAAUAUAGGAGUAUUGGUCGCGCAAAGUCUAAAAAAAAUUAUUUUUUUUAAAAAAAAUUCCCGCAUCCCAUUUUUGGUACCCGCCAAAAUUUUUAAAUUUUUGCGCGACGAAAAAUACAUAUUGGUCGCGCAAAGUCUAAAACAAUUAUAUAAAAAAAUUCCCGCAUCCCAUUUUUGGUACCCGCCAAAAUUUUUAAAUUUUUGCUCGACGAAAAAUAUAUAUUGGUCGCGCAAAGUUUUGAGCGACAAAAAAUAUUGGUCGCGCAAAGUCUAAAGUUUUUUUUUUAAUUUUAAAAACCCGCGUCCCAUUUUUGGUACUCGCCCAAAUUUUUUGAGUUUUGCACGAUGAACUGUUGGUCGCCCAAACUUUUGAGAGACGAAAAAUUGGUUCGUAGCACAAUAUUUAUAAAAAUAAUUGUUAUGAAUAAAAAAAAAUAAAAAAAUUUAUUUUAUGAUUUAAAAUAUAAUUAAGGUGAAAGCUACUUAAUAAAUGUAUAUACUAUUCAAUUUCUUAAGUGUUAUACGUACAAAAUAAAUAAAUUUAAAGCUACUUAAUAAAUAUAUGUAUAUAAAUAUAUAUAUAUAUACACACACCAUUCAACGAUCCAACCAUAAGACUUGUUUGUAUAUACUUCAAGAUCGUAUACCCCAAAAAUCGCAAAAAACAAACAUUCAGAGAUCUAGUAACGGGACAAAACUUUUCGAUAGUUAUAAAUGAAAAAUCACGAUUUAACGGUUAUUUUAACUCCGAUUUUGAUGAUUUUUUUACAGCUACACUCCUUGACCCUAUAUGAAUACAAUGACUGAAUUUGAUCUUCAAUUUAAAACAUUUGCACUAGUGGAUACCACAAAAUCUUAUGUUAUAUUUAACGAAAAUAUAAAUAAACUCUUAAUUGUUAGUGAAUUCGACGAAACUAGUUUCAACGAUCCAACCGUCAAACUUGUUUUUUUAUACUUCGAGAUCAUAUACGCCAAAAAUCAGAAAAAAUAAAUAUUCAUAGAUCAAGUAACGGGACAAAACUUUUCGACGGUUAUAAAUGAAAAAUCAUGAUUUAACGGUUAUUUUAACUCCGAUUUUGAUGAUUUUUUACAGCUACACUCCUUGACCCUAUAUGAAUACAAUGACUGAAUUUGAUCUUCAAUUUAAAAUAUUUACACUAGUGGAUACCACAAAAUCUUAUGUUAUAUUUAACGAAAGUAUAAAUAAACUCUUAAUUGUUAGAGAAUAUAUUGUUUUGUUGGCAUAUGCAUUCUAUGAAACUAAUUUCAACGAUCCAACCGUCAAACUUGUUUGUUUAUACUUCGAGAUCAUAUAUGCCAAAAAUCGAAAAAAAUAAACAUUCAUUGAUCAAGUAAUGGGACAAAAAAUUUUGACAGUUAUAAAUGAAAAAUCAUGAUUUAAUGGUUAUUUUAACUCCGAUUUUGAUAAUUUUUUAUAGCUACACUCCUUGACCCUAUAUGAAUACAAUGACUGAAUUUGAUCUUCAAUUUAAAAUAUUUACACUAGUGGAUACCACAAAAUCUUAUGUUAUACUUACGAAAGUAUAAAUAAACUCCUAAUUGUUAGUGAAUAUAUUGUUAGUGAACAAAAAAAAACUAGUUUCAACGAUCCAACCGUCAAACUUGUUCGUUUAUACUUCGAGAUCAUAUACGCCAAAAAUCGGAAAAAAUAAACAUUCAGAGAUCAAGUAAGGGGACAAAACUUUUCGAUGGUUGUAAUGAAAAAUUACGAUUUAAUGGUUAUUUUAACUCCGAUUUUGAUGAUAUUUACUGCUACACUCCUUGACCCGAUAUGAAUACAAUGAACUAAUUCGAUCGUCAAUUUAAAAUAUAUAUUUUCUAACAAAAACCCAAUCCGAACAACAAUAAUAUAUUUUUCUAAUAAAAAUCCGAUCCGAUCUAAAAUAAUAAGUUUAAAGCUACUUAAUAAAUAUAUAUACCGUUUAAUUUCUUAAGUGUUAUGCAUACAAAAUAAAAAACAAAAAUAAAUUGGUUUAGGUGACAAAAUGUUUGGAUUACGUCAUGCAAAGAUUCUAAAAAAUAAUUUUUUUUAUUCUAUUUAUUUUUGUAAGGACUUUGCGCGACGAAGUUUACUUUUCGUCGCGCAAAGUCACUUUGAGCGACGAAUUAUUUUUCGUCGCGCAAAAUUGGUCGCGCAAGACUUUGAGCGACGAUGUAUUGUCGUCGCGCAAAAGUUUGUCGCGCGAAGUGACUUUGCGCGACGAAUUAUUUUUCGUCGCGCAAAAUUUGGUCGCGCAAGACUUUGAGCGACGAAGUUUCAAGUUUCGUCGCGCAAAGUAACUUUGAGCGACGAAUAAUUUUUCGUCGCGCAAAAUUUGGUCGCGCAAGGGGUUUUUUUUACUAGUGCUAGUUAGGUAAUGACUAGACGGUUGAUGCCUAGUCUUUUUGGUCGACAUUAUUUGUAAUUUUAUGGGAGAACAUACAAUUUUCUUAUUUUGUUGGUUUGAUUAGGGACAAAAGUUUUGUACUAGUUUUGUUGGUUUGUUUGUUGUAAACCUGUGAGUGUUCUGUGCUUGGCAAGCAGUUGGCCACCAAGAGAGAGGCUACUGAAGAAAUAUGGUGAUUGGCUCGCAAGAUGAACAGCCUGAUAUAUAAAAAAAAGCUACACUAGAGCAAAACAGUCUAUCCAAAGAAGGGAAAAGUACAAAUACAAAAUGAAAGAAAGAAAAACCAACCUGUAGAGCAUAAGGCAUCAUGAAUGCAGGUUUGGUUGGUAGAGAUAAUGUGCGUGUACGGAGUACUUUCCCUUUCCCACCUAAAAAACAAAAAAUAAAAUAAAUUACUUUCCCUUAAUUAAAAAAUUAGUUCUGUUUUUGUUCUAAUUUUAUUUUUUAGUUCAAUUUUUUCGAUUGUCGAUUAUUUGGGUUGUCAAUCUGCUAGUUAAUAUAUUUUUUGUGGCUUAUUUUCUCUUUGCAUGUGUUUAUUCCAUAAAAUUGGUAUAAAAUUAUGGUAUGAUUUUGUGUUUUUUGUCUUUUUGUGGAUUGUCAGCAUUUGCAAGAAUGUUGUAGUAUUUGCUAUGCAACAGGGUAUUAAGCCAAUAUGUUCUGUUUUAACACAGAUUUGUAAGGUAGUUUUUGCUGUAAGUACCAGUUUGUAAGAAUUUUUUUUUUAAAAAAAAAAAAAUUACUUUCUAUUAUUUCUAAUGUAUUUUUAGCAUAAUACAAUUGAAACGCGAAUACUUUAAUCCACCAUAUUUAGAAUGAAUGUAUUUUUUUUCCAUAUAUCUUUUUAAACACAACAUUUAGGGCUUAUUUGGAAAUGAUUUUAGAUAUGCUAUAAUCACUUAUGGGGAAAGCCACGCCCCAUGUGCUUCUCUAUAUAAUCACUUAUUAGUGAUUUUAAGUGAUUCUGAUCAUAAGCUUCACCUAUGCGUUUCUCCACAAAAUCACUUGAAGUAAUUAUUUGGAAAAGUGAUCCUCCAUAGAAGCGCUUUUUGGCCUAUUUAGAGUCACUCCCAAACAACUUUUCUUUCUGCAAAUAGAGAAUCUAGUUCUUGAAAAAUAAAUGCAUUGAGAUUAAAGCCUUGGGAUUUCUCAAUACAUUCAAACGUAUGCUUUUGGUUUCGCAUAAAAUGAAGUUCCAACACAUGUAGAUUGGACCUAGUGAAGUUUUAAUGAACCAUAAUCAAAUUUGUUUCCAAGAGCUAAACUAAAAUAAAUAAUAAAAUGAAGGGACAUCCUAAUGGAAAGCUUCAACUUGGUCCUCGAAGUGUUGUAGUAGGCCCUCCAUGCUCAUUACUGUGACAUCACCCUUAUCUCUAACCCUUACGCUAACCUGAAACCAUAAGAGGAUGGAUCACAUACUAACUUCUCACUAGAAGACUUCCAUGGCAGAGUUUAACUUACAACAAAGGACCAUGGGCAGCAGCAUAAACAAAAAUUACAAAAUUACGAAAAAAAAGAAAAACGGACCUGUCCAUUUUGAACUUCCUCCGCACCCACAACUAAAAUGUAGUUGUACUGUGCCAUCUGAGCUUGUCGUACCUGCAGAAAACAAGAGCAUUAUCAGUAAACAAACACAAGGCAUCAAAUCCUGCAUUUACCCAAGUUAUGAAUGCUCACCUUUUUCUGAAUUGUUUUAUCACUUGUGUCCACAUCGACAUAAUAACCAGCUUGAUGGAGCUGAUCCCGUACCUACAAAAAUGCAAACGCAUGCAGUUUUUAAUUUAGCUAGGACUUAAGGUUAAAGAACUAAAACAAUGUAAGCCACUCUAGCUUGGCAAGCAGUUGGCCACUAAGAGAGAGGCUACUGAGGAAAUAUGGCGAUUGGCUCGCAAGAUGAACCAGCCUGAUAUAUAAAUAAAUAAAUAAAUUCAUGGCUCAUAGCCUUACGCUAGACAAGCUACACUCGAGCAAAACAGUCGAUCCAAAGAAGGGAAAAGUACAAAUAAAAAAUUAAAGAAAGAAAUAUAGUGAUUGGCUCGCAAGAUGAACAGCCUGAUAUAAAAAAUAAAAUUCAUGGCUCAUAGCCUUACACUAGACAAACUACACUCGAGCAAAACAGUCUAUCCAAAGAAGGGAAAAGUACAAAUAAAAAAUUAAAGAAAUAAAAAAUGACCUGUAGAGCAUAAGGCAGGGCUGUAUGCGACACAGGGCAAACAAUUGCCUGACGUGGGCUAAGCCAGAAGGGCCAUUUCCCUUUGUAGUGUUCCAACAGUACAGCAAGCAUACGCUCAACAGAACCUAAAACAGCUCUGUGUAUCAUAACAGGCCUUUCCAUCUUGCCGUCUUCACCCUCUGCUGAGUAAUACAGCUUAAAGCGGUCGGGAAGUUGAAAAUCAAGCUGCAACCACAGCAUUUUUCCAAAAUGGUAACAGCAACAAAAUGAAGCGUAAAGAGAUCAUGAAACGACAAAAAAAAGUGAUCAUCAUAUACCUGUAAUGUUGCCAACUGAUGAUCUCUGUUCAAUGCAUCAGAUACAGUGAUAUCUAUCUUCGGUCCAUAAAAUGCACCAUCCCCUUCAUUCACCUGCGCAACAUGACUACCGAUGUAACCACAACUCCAGACACAAUCUAGCUAUUCCAAACCAAUCCAUCUGGUUCAGAGUUCCAGCUAAGCCAAUUAUGAAAACUCCCCUGACUGAGCUUCGUCAAGUUUUUAACCCACUGAGCCAAAAAUAAAUAAGCUAGAAGCCCUUUGGGGUUGGCCCAGGUGGUAAGGCUGGGUGGGGGAAUCAGUUAGGAUGUCAUAGGUUUCCAAUGUAACCAAAGGAAAAACAAAAACAAAAAGCAAGCAACUACACUAGUGCACAGUGAAAAUUGGAUCAAUUUUCUUCCACGUGAAUUUUAUGAUCAUUAGCUGCCAAAGGAAGAAUCAGCUAGAUGCUUACGUGCAUUUAGAGUAUCAAGUAAAAGUACCUCCCAGGGCUUGCCGAACUCAAUUAAAGCUUCUUUAAGAGCAGCCUCAGCCUUCUUCCAUGUUGCCAAGUCUCCCAUGUGGCUUUCUGGCAUCUACAACAUAAACGUACGAGGCAGAAUAAUUAUGAAUUCCCCAUACUUCCUAGAUGGGAGAUAGAUACAGACAAUUAUAACUCAUAGCAUCAUGCAGUACCAAAAUAAUUAGAUGUGACCCAUACCCAAAGAGUUAAAAAUGUAAAAUCAGACUACCAAUACUAGGUGAUGAUCAAAUAAAAUAAAAAAUCCAAAUCCAAAUCCAAAUCCAAACAUCACACUAACAAAAUAGAAGCUAUAUCUAGAACAAGACCAAUAAGAUAUUCCCAUGAGAGUAUUUGUCGUCUAUUUUAAAUUUGAAAAUACGCAAAAGAAAUAUAUAAUUCAAACUUGCAGCUUAGGCCGAUAACUUGUGAGGAAGAACAAUGACACUUCGCUACCGAAAAGUAAAAAGAAAAACUACAUGUUCAGCUCUUCAAACAUUAGGGAUCAAGAACCUUACUGUUGAAAGUUUCAGCAUAAAAGUGAAGCCAAAUAUAUUAUAGGUAUACUCGAUAAACUCUAAGACACCCCUCACUUCAUCUUUCACCUGAAACACAGAGACAUAAUAGCACUAUGAGCAAAACGAAACUGCAAAAAUACAAAAACAAAAGUAAAAUGUUAGGAGGUAUGUGAGUAAGGUCAACUAACUUGGGACUCCCUGCAGAAGAUAUGAGCGUCAUCCUGUACCAAAAAGAACGUCAAUAAUGCUGGUAACUGGUACUAAUACUCUAACUAUACAAACCUACAACAUUAACAUCACUAAACUAUCUUGGUGGAGACAGAUUGUAGGCAUUAUCUAACUAUGCAAAAUGCUCAAUUGUAAAUUCCUAGAACCAAAAUAAAAAGAAAAAAUCAAAGUAUACCUGCUGGAAUCUCCUGACACGUGUUAAUCCAGUGAGUGCGCCACUGGCCUCAUUCCGAUGUAGCACCCCAAAAUCAGCCAUUCGUAGAGGUAGUUCUUUGCAUAAAUAUCAAACGCACACAUAAGUAACAAGUUCAAGUCCUUAACAGCAAAAGAUGGUCUACCACAGUUUUAUCAGGGUCAAGAAACUAUUUACAAAAGAUGAUUGUUGAAAACUAAAUAUAUAAAAAGACUAAUGCUACAAGUACACAGAGUUUCAUUAACUAUUCCUAAACAUAAUAGUGUGGCAGCCUAUGCGUCAAACCAUAUCGACAAUAGAAAAUGCUAUUGAGCAAUUCAAGUGAAUAAAAAGCUCAAGAAAGAAAAAAAAAUACCUCUAUAAGAACGGUUCCUAUGCUGAAACAUUACACAGUGCCCUGGGCAGUUCAUUGGUUUUAAUCCAAACUCCUGUUUCUCAAUCUGCAGUGGAACUUGAUUUCGUCAAAUAAAAGGAUACAAAAUCAAGAUAAACUUAGUCCAGUUCAUUUACACCGCAUAACUAGUAGAUGAUGAUCUCAAUCAAUCAUCUGCAUUGAAUUUCAUACUAUAAUUUCCAUAUUGUUUUACUGUUUGAGCAACAGAGAAUUCUUCAUCAUGACAUUAUCCAAUAUUUGGUAUCAUUCAUAUACACACAGAAGAGAAAGAAUAAUAAAAUAAAUUAGUAAAUAUGAAUUUUCCCCUUCAAACUCAUCAGUCUGUCUUCCCAGUACAGUUGCUUUUAAGCAUACAGUUGCUUCAACAUAAACAAACGCAAUGGUAUCAAGUCAUGUCAAAACUAACCUCCACCAAAAACAUAUUGUCUUUGUAUUUUUCAGCAUGGCCAGAUGUUUCCCAGAGUUUCAUAUUGUACAAGUUUGGUGAUAUAACCUACCAAAGUAAAGAAAACUAUGAGCAUAUUAUUUAAAGAUAAUCGGGUGAUGCAACAACUGAAUAUUUAUUACCAACCUCUUCGUAUCCCCUCUCUCUAUACUGCUUCUUUAUGAACUCCAUUAAUUUAUUAUAAAUCCGAGCCCCUUUAGGGAGGAAGAAGCAACUUCCUGGGCUGCAAUUGACAAGUGGAAAUAAUCAAAUGGAAAUCAUUCACUCUUGGUCAGUUCAAAAAGUUAAGAAAUAUGAACUCAAUACAUACCUAACUGGGUCGAAAAAGAAAAGUUCCUGAUUUUUACCCAACACUCUGUGGUCAUAUUUUUUUGCUUCUUCUAGCUUAUGCAUAUGGGUCUGCAGAAAAAGGUAUAUGUUAGUAAGAAAAUCAAGUAAUUCAAUAAGUAUAAUAAUCUGACCAUUACAAAUUGACUUUUCAAAGACUGGAGGCCUGUAAUAUUGCACUGUGAUUUACAAUGUUAAUUUAUGUUGGAUAGGGUAUAAAAGUUCAUGUCCUCAACAUCAUUCCUUUAAUAAAAUUACACCAACUUGUAUUGCUUGAAAUCAUUGCACUUCAUACAGCACCAUUUAUUUUCAGUUGACAUAGCACUGAUUUUUUAUUUUUUUUUUAAAUACCCUGAAAUCCACCAAUUCAUAAAGCGGAACAGCUUUUCCUUUUGAUGUCAAUUAAGGGAAUUAGUGCACCAAUUUGUACAAAGAACUUUAUUUUUAACAAACACUCAAAAACGCAGCCAAAGUAGCUGAUACAAGAAAGCAGAUAAGAAAAAUCAAAACUAAAGUUACGGAAUGUCAAAAACAUAAUGUCACCUGCAACCGUUUUUUAUCAGGAUAAGAUAUUCCAUAAACUCUCUGUAAGCUUUCACGAUCCUUGUUACCCCUCCAAUAGGCUGCAGAAGCCUGGGAUUGCAAAUUCAUGAGUUAAAUACAGACACGCAAUACAUUAAUAACAAGACGAUAGAAAAUGUUACAAAUUGUGGCUCUACCCCGCAUAGAACACAUACCUUCAAACAUUUAAAUGCUUUGAUAAAUGAUGCAUUUGGUAUAUGGGGUCCACGACACAAGUCAACCAAAGGGCCACAUCUAUAUACAGUGAUAGUUUGGUCUGCUGGAAGACCAUUGAUGAUUUCAACCUGAUUAAAAUAUCCCAAAGCAAAAAUAAAUCUUAAAUCGAUUUUGAACGCAUGUACGAAAAGUAGUUUAAAAAAAAAAUCAAUCUAUUUAUUAGAAACAAAACUAAGCAUCUUUCCUUACCUUGAAUUUAUUAUCACAAAACAUCUCAAGGGCUUGUUCCCUUAAUACUUCAAUGCGUUCAAAAGGUUGUUUCCCCUAGGGAAAUAUAUUACAACUAACCAGUCAAGGAUUGAAUCCAAAAAUAGAAAAAUAUUGAAAGUGUUACCAUUUUGCAAACAAUCAAGAAGCAACAGUUUCCUCCAUACAACAAGUUUACAUGAAUUCUAUUACAAGAAAACAAACAAUACCUUAAUAGCCAUCUCUGCUGUUGAUUCGAUUUUCUUAAAGUGUUCGUCAUUCAAGCCAUAAUCUCCAUGAAAUGCAUCAUAGUAAAAACCCUGCGAUUGAAUUCAAUCAUUCCAUAAGGGAACCAAAUGAGAAACCACUAAAAUACAUAGCAAAACCAUGAAAUAUAUUUUAGAAGACCAUAAAAAGAUAACAUUUCUCAAAACUGGGAUCACAAAACUUGAACUAUCCUAGUAGUUGAAUUGCACGCCAAGGAAACCACAUACGCAAACAAACUUCCAUGCAACAUAUUGGUCAACCAAAGAAGGUGACAAAAUAUACAGAAAAAGUAUAAAAUGUUAAAUUUAAACUAACUACUAGUACGAUUAUUUAAAAACCUCUUUGCUAGUGGUACACAAAUCGAGUCUUGUUCCAAUUCUGGCACAAGGACCUAUGCAGAGACGGCAUCCAUACUCCAUCUCAAGUGCCUGCACGAUAUGGAAACUUGUAAUGCAUCCAACCCAAAUCAAAUCAUACAGUAAACCAAAACCAAAAAUCUCGACAAUAACUCUUGGUGCCUACCUGUCCGAGAAUGUGGGAGCUAGAGUGCCAGAAAGUGUGGCGGACAUCCUCAUUGUUGUCGAAUGAGUCCAAUGUUAAGAUCCUCAGCUCAGCAUCGCCCUCCAAAGGCCUGUUCAUGUCCCAUAGAACCCCAUUGACCUCAGAAAUCAAAGCGUUGGAAGCCAAACUCUUUGAAAUCUCACUUGCAAUUUCGAAUGGGGAAGUUAUCCACUUUUUGCCCUCCUUCACCUUCCCGUCCGGCAAUGUAAUCCUGAAAAACCCCAACAGCAGUUAGUUACUUAAGAGAAGGAAUUUACCAUCGCAUGUACUUCCACAUAACUAAACUAUCUCGUUUGGCAAAUGUAACGAUAGGACUUUUUCUUAGUGGGGCUUGGAAACCCAAAAGUUCCUCAACAACGCAACGCCUAUACAGACGUUACUUACGAAUUCCAUCAAAACCAGAUGACUGGGGCCUUGUUUGAUCUGCCAAGUCCCACUUGAAGCAUGUGGUGAAGAGCUAUAAUCUUCAAAACCAUUAGAUCCACAUCAUAAGAUGCGUCAGUUUAUUUUGAAAUAAACAAGCUUGAUCUUUAUCACAAUGAAUUCAAAAAGGACAACGUAGCUAAUGAAUGGUGCAGGUAAUGAAUUCAAAAUCAUACUACUUUAGGAGUUGCUUGGUACUCAUAUGUCAGGUAGUGCAAAAAGGAGUUUAGGGUUUACCUGAUAGGAUCGAAAGACGGGUGAGACUGUCGAGCAGCACGUUGUUCUGCCUGAAUUGACUCAAAGAGUUUGUUGCGCUUAGGAAUGUCGACCAUAAGGUAAUCUUUGGCGUGGAACUCCAUGGCCGUUCACUUUUGCUCGACUGGAAGGAGGAGCAGAUAUAUAUAUGACUGGCGGAUCUGCGAUGUGUCUGGCGUCUGAUGGUGGCUGUGAUUUUGGUGUGAUGGCUUAGAGUCUUAUACCCUUUGUUUUUUUCUUUUGACAAUAGGAAUCCAGGUUUGGUUGGGAGAGAUAAUGUGCGUGUACGGAGUACUUUCCCUUUCCCGCCUAAAAUAAAUAAAUUAAAUUGAAUUACUUUCCCUUAAUUAAAAAAUUAGUUCUGUUUUUGUUCUAAUUUUAUUUUUUAGUUGAAUUUUUCCGUUGUCGAUUAUUUAAAGGAAGCCACCCUUAUUAAAACGAAUCUCAUUUAUUCAUGAUAAAUUGAAUGAAAGGACCCGCUCCAAAUUUCUCAAAAACUCGAGGUGAAUUCUGUGGAAUUCUCGACAUCAUCCUGAUGUCGGGUCCACUUACUAAAGACCGAGACUUUCUGCCAAAAAUUCGGCAGAGUCUCCCCUAUAAAUUGAACAUUUCCCAAAAUUUUCACUUGCAUAAAACACAAUUUAAUAUCCACAACUGGCAGCAUGCACAAUAUAACUUCAUGCAAUUCACAUAAACGGCCUUCGGCCUUCAAAUAAUUCUCAACUACCAAGCAUGCUAACAAAUCAAUUCAUGCCUUAAACAAGGUAAAUGAUAAAUUCAAAUAUAAAUUAUGACUACUAAAUCUCAACAUACGAGGUUUUAGCCUCCUAACACAAUCACAUUUUCACCUCAAUUUCAGGACCAACAACAAGGUCCGAACCAAUCUCUAUAUGACUAACAUUUAGUCUGCGGCUGCACCUAAUAACCUUAGGCUGCCUACGUACCCUCCUUGAGGGAUCAAGCCGCACGUAGUUCUUCCCUUAAAAACCUAAUUCCACACAUAGGCGAUACCUUAUUUCAUUUAUCUAUACUUCACAUAAUCUCCCCAUACGCCGGUACAACCAAUGCCACGUAUGGGGCCUGUCAACAUGCUGGAUAACCUACGCCACGUGCGACCAUACCAUACUAUCACAAUAUCUCCCCAUACGCCGGUACAACCAACGCCACGUAUGGGGUCUGUCGACAUGCUGGAUAACCUACGCCACGUGCGACCUCAACACAGUAUCACAAUAUCUCUUCAUACGCCGGUACAACCAACGCCACGUAUGGGGUCUGUCUCAACGCCGAAUAACCUACGUCACGCGAGACCUAACUUUCACAGGGUGGUACUUGUAGUGUAACCAAAAUCUAGGGAGGUACCUAAGGUAGUGUGUAUAGCACUUCAAACUGACAUUCUAGACUCUUUUGUACCCUUGUACAAACAUAUAUGAUUAUAUAUAUUAAUACUAAUAUUGUGUAAACCUCAACAAUGGUCUAGCACCCAAUAAUCCCCCUGGGAAGGUGAGAUUACUUCGAGAGGACUCACGGUCAACCAAAGGUCAAAUUACCCUAACCCUGGUCAAACGGGCCUACGGGGCCCACGACCUCCAAAUUUCGAUCCGAAAGUUCCUAUGAGUUCUACAAGGUAUAGGACACUCGUCCUGCAAGUUUGGUCCAGAUCGCUCACGAUCGCACGAUCUGACGGUUAUUAUAAAACAUAAACUUUAAAUUAUUUAUUCGGAGCAUCCGGGGCUCCGAUUCACAAUCCGUGAAUUCCUACACGAUUCUAGAAAUACCUAGUGUAACACCCCGACCCCGAAUUUAACCCUUAUUUAAUUAUUUAAUUAUUUAAUUAUUUAAGGGUAUUUUAGUUAUAUUUUUAACCAGAGAGAGUUUGGGGCAGUGACUAGUAUUUUUGGAUAGGUCGUACUGAGACGAGUUCAUAGACACGUAGUGGGCUCGAAUCGGAGUUGUAACGAGAGAAAUAUGGUCAAAAGAAAUCCAGUGGCACAAUCGUAAAUAUUUCAAAAUGGGAUUUUUAUAAAAAUCUAGUUUUCUCUCUCUCUCUCUCUCUCUCUCUCUCUCUCUCUCUCUCUCUCUCUCUCUCUCUCUCUCUCUCUCUCUCUCUCUCCCGCAGGUCUCUCUCUCCUCUCUCUCUGGCGCGACGGCAGCCGGCCACGUUUUGGUCGGCCGUGCUCUCCUCCAGCCACCGAUGACGACGGGACCUGUACCAAAAUCACCGGGCCGUCGUCCUCUUCCUACCCCAGCCACCUCCCACCGCCAGCCGCCGCGGAUUCGCCGGAAUCUGGAGAUGAAGCGGCCGACGUCGUCCAAACUUCAAAGUCGCCGAUCUCCCUCCUCCGGCCACCAAUUCAGUCGACCCAGGUAUGGAUUUUGAACCUCUCGAGCUGCUCUAGCUGAUGGUUGGGUAGGAUUAGAUCGAUUCUUAGCAUAGACAAUUCGAUUUUUGAAUUGAAAUUCGGCCGAUUUUGGGAUCGCAAUUCCGGCCACUUCCGGUCCGUUUUUGGGGUAGGUCCAAGAACAAAAGUGGCUCCAAAUAGGGUGUUAUACCUAGGGUAGGAGUUUGGAGCAGUGGUUUUGAGAGUUUCCGGCGAAGCGUUAUCGCUUAGGGCACCCACGCGCUGCCGGCGCGUGCGGCGGCGCGUGGGCACUGUAGAAAAAGUGGCACUAUGUCUCGAUGAGAUCCUUAGGUUGUCACGAGUGCGUAGGAUUUCACGGAUCUCAAUUCGGACAUCGUUUGACUAUCGAACAGACGAUUGCAUAUUGUGCGUUAUCCGGGUUCGAUAGGUUGGGACCGUUGGAUGGUCCCAAAUUUAAUAUAUGUUAAUCUAGGUAAUUCUAGGAUCGUGUAGGAAUUCACGGAUUGUGAAUCGGAGCCCCGGAUGUUCCGAAUAAUAAUUUUAAAGUUUAUAUUUUAUAUUAAUUGUCUGAUCGUGCGAUCGUGAGCAAUCCGACUGUCCGAUCUGAACUAAACUUGCAGGACAAGUGUCCUAUACCUGGUAGAACCCAUAGGGACUUUCGGAUCAGAAAUUGGAGGUCGUGGGUUCUGCAGGUCCGUUUGACCAGGGUUAGAGUAGUUUGACCCUUGGUUGACCGUGAGUCUCCUGGAGUAAUCUUACCUUUCCAGGGGAGAUUAUCGGGUGCUAGACUAUUGUGGAGGGUUACACAAUAUUAGAAUUAAUAUUUAUUACUAUAAUUAUAAUAAGUUUGUACAAGGGUACAACAGAGUCUAGAAUUGUCAGUUUGGAGUGCUAUACGCACUACCUUAGGUACCUCCUCAGAUUUUGGGUUUCACUACAAGUACCACCAAGUGAAAGUGAGGUCCCACGUGGCGUAGGUUAUCCGGCGUUGGGACAGGCCCCAUACGUGGCGUUGGUUGUACCGGCGUAUGGGGAGAUUUGUAAUAUGAUGUUCAGGUCUCACGUGGCGUAGUUUAUCCGGCGUUGAGACAGGCCUCAUAUGUGGCGUUGGUUGUACCGGCGUAUGGGGAGAUAUUGUGAUAUUGUGUUGAGGUCGCACGUGGCGUAGGUUAUCCGGCUUGUCAACAGGCCCCAUACGUGGCGUUGGUUGUACCGGCGUAUGGGGAGAUUUGUGAUAUGAUAUUGAGGUCCCACGUGGCGUAGGUUAUCCGGCGUUGGGACAGGCCCCAUACGUGGCGUUAGUUGUACCGGCGUAUGGGGAGAUAUGUGAUAUGAUGUGCAGGUCUCGCGUGGCGUAGGUUAUCCGGCGUUGAGACAAACCCCAUACGUGGCGUUGGUUGUACUGGCGUAUGGGGAGAUAUUAUGAUAGCAUGGCAUGGUCGCACGUGGCGUAGGUUAUCCGGCGUGUUGACAGGCCCCAUACGUGGCGUUGGUUGUACCGGCGUAUGGGGAGAUUAUGUGAAAUACAGAGAAAUGAAAUAAGGUAUCGCCUAUGUGUGGAAUUGGGUUUUAUGGAAGAACUACGUAUGGCUUGAUCCCUCAAGGAGGGUACGUAGGUAGGCCUGGGCACGGUUCGGGUCGGGUCAAAUUUUGGCCGACCCGCGAGCCAAACCGAAGGAGAGCUCGGUUCUCGGGUCGAGUCGGGUCUAGGAUGAAACCCGAAAAUGGGCCGAACCGGAAAUGGGCUCGGUUCUCGGGUCGGUUCUGAUUUAUUCUCGGUUUGGGCUUGGGCCCAUUUUUUCAAUUUUCCAAAAGCCCAAAUCUUAUUUAUUUUCGGCCAAAAAAAGCCCAAAUCAUAUUUUUUUAGUAAAACAAAGCCCAAAUCCGAUUUCCUUUCAGCCAAAACCCUUUUUUUGUUGUCAAAUUGCCAAAACCUAUUAAAUUCUUAUGAACAAGCCCAAAACACUUUUUACUUCUCUUUCAAAACCUGAAAUUAUGUAAAUUCAAGCUAUAAAAAUCCAUCAUUCCAAUCUAAGUUUCUAAACUAAAUAAAUCUCACAUACACACAUUCAAUUCAACCAACCAACCAAGGAAAGGAAAUAUAAUCUCUUACAAACCAUUACAAAAAAUAAUACACAAACCAAAUUAAACUUAUGACAUUAAAGAUUACAACCCAUCACAAAAAUACACAUAGAGAUAAUAUCCUUGCAAAAAAUCUGCUGCAUCCAUUCUUCCAAAAGCCUUCACAAAGCAACCUACACAACACUUAAAAGAAUUAACACAAAGUUUCACCAUCAACAAAUCAUAAUUAAAAUAAGAUGCAAUAAAAAUACCUUCCAACAUAUCUUAAUCACACUAAGAAGGGAGAGUCUUAUUCAAAUUUGUCAUUGAUGUUUUACUCCCCAUUUCUACAAAGUAUAAUAAAAUAAAUCAAACCAAUUUGAGUUAGAACACAUAAAAAUAAGAAAAUAAUCGGAUUCAAAUAUACUUAUAGAAAUGAAAAUAUUACCCAUUUCAAUUGAUUCAUAGAACUCCAUCUUUUGUGAAUGAAAUCAAACAAAGGGUUAGGUUACAAACAAGCUUCAUUUGUUCCAUAAACAAGCUUCACUCAAAACAGUAACAACAAAGAUAGAUAUACAUUACAAAAAGUAAAUCAUAUGGGGACACAAAUGAAAGACUGAAAUGAACUUAAGUGCAAUAAAAUAGGGUCCAACAGAAAAGUAUGAAUCAAAAGAGAGCAGCAUAGAAAAGCAUAAACGAAAUCAAACAAGAAUGUUCCAUCCACAUAUCAUAUUGGCCACCACAGUUUUAUAUAUAACUGAUAAGAAAAAUCACAGAUAGAGGAGUAGAAUCCAAUACCAAUAAGAAGUUCGGUGCCACUGGGUUUAGCUUCCCCAAACAUCCAUGCAAAUGACAGUGCCAUUGUUGCAAUCAGAACCGCGAACACUGCUUCCAGCUUCCUCACACCAUAAUUUUCAAGAAAAAGAAAGAUGAAACUGUAGCAAGGAAACAAAUGAAAUUAUUUUCGAGUUAUCAAUUUUAAAAUAGUUGCAAGUUCAAGGAAAAAAAAAUUUGGUUCAGUUCUAAGACAAUGCAGGAAAAGAAAGAAACUACAAGCUUGGACUAUCAGAAACUUUAUUCUUUUGAACCUUAAAAACUGAAAAUUAGUCAGCGAGAACUAAUAAAUCUAUUCGGCAUGGUUGAAAUGAGCUUCACUUUCCAGAAAUUAAAUAUUUUUAAAUCUUGGAUUUUCCAGGCAACCAAGCAGAAUUCAAUCCUUCACUUUGAAUAGACUCUCAAAUUCCUGAUUUCAAACAACACUACAUCUUUCUAUAAACUGAACUAAGUCAACUGGCUGACUAAGAACUUCAAAUCUUUAACACAACUACAGAAAGCGCCGAAACCAGUGGCCCUUUGAAAAUUGUGAAAGAAUCAAACAUACUCAUAUCAAAGAAAAGCCACAGAAAUUGCUUGCACAUUAAAUACCAAAAAUCCAUACAUCGAAAGUAAAGCCAUGUGGAGCUGAUGAUAUAAAAAUAUGUAAUUCUAAUGCACACAUUCAAUUUUAAGCCACAAAUAGAGAUUGAGACAGAAAUAUUUAUACCUUCAAUUUUGCCUAUUAAUCCAAACCCACAGAGACUAAGCACAACUACUGCAAAAUUAAGAACAAAUUGUGUUAAUUACAACAGAAUACCAAAAUUUCAAAACCCUAAUAAUCUACUAAAUUAGGGAAAAUGAAAACAACUAAGAAUUCAAACCAAAUACAUACAAAUUACCUUAGAAUGAACCAGAGCCCUCCAGAAUUUACAAGGAUUCGCUCCAAAAACCAAUAAAAUUGGAUGAUGUUUGGUUCGGUUUGGAGAAAGAGAAUGAGUCUCGCGCGACUCUAAGAGACUUAAAGAUGUGAAGAGUGAGAGAGAGCCAAGGGAUGAGUCGAGAGAGAGACAGAGAGCCAAGGGACGGCGGCCGAUGAGGUGAGGGUUAGUCUCAGAUCGGGAGAGAAAUAGUGUAGGGUUUCGUUUCGUGAGUUUCAUGAGGGAGUGAGAGAGAGAGAGAGAGAGAGAGAGAGAGAGAGAGAGAGACGGCCGAGUGAAUGAGAGAGUCUGAGAGGGUUAUUGAAAAAAUAAUAAACAAAUAAUUGAGAGAGGUUCUAAUAUAGUGCAAGCAGACCCACCCAAAGUUCUUAUUUAAGCCAAUGAGACAACGCCAUGUGUCAAAAGCAUAUAUAAUUAAAUAAUGGUCGGUUCGGUUCAGGUUCAACGGUUCAAAAAAUUUUAGACCCGAAGGCUGAACCGAAGUCAACGGUUCGGUUCAGGUCCAGCGUUGACUUUUUCGGUUUGGUCAAAAAAACCUUAUUUUUCGGUUCGGUUUGGUUUGGUUCGGUCGGUUUGAUCGGUUUAUCGGUUUUUAUGCCCACCCCUAUACGUAGGCAGCCUAAGGUUAUUAGGUGUAGCCGCAGACUAAAUGUUAGUCUUAUAGAGAUUGGUUCGGACCUUGUUGUUGGCCUGAAUUGAGGUGAAAAUGUGAUUGUGUUAGGAGGCUAAAACCUUGCAUGUUGAAAUUUAACAGUCCUAGUUUAUAUUUUAAAUUUAUUGUUUGCCUUGCUUAAGGCGUGAAUUGAGUUGCUAGCAUGCUUGGUAGUUGAGAAUUGUAGGAAGGCCGAAGGCCAUUUGUGUGAAUUGCAUGAAAUUAUAUUGUGCAUGCUGCCAGUUGGGAAUAUUAAAUGCGUUUUCAUGCAGGUAUAAAUUUUGGGAAAUGUCCAAUUUAUAGGGGAGACUCUGCCGAAUUUUCGGCAGGAAGUCUCGGUUUUUAGUAUUUGAGCCUGGCAUCGGAAGGAUGUCGGGAAUUCCAAAGGGUUCGCCUCGAGUUCUGAAAAAUUCGGGGCGGGUCCUUUCACCUAGAUUAACAUAUAUUAAAUUUGAGACCAUCCAACAGUCCCAACCUAUCGAACCCGAAUAACGCUCAAUAUGCGAUCGUCCGUUAGAUAGUCAAACGACGUCCGAAUUGAGAUCCGCGAAAUCCUACGCACUCGUGGCAACCUAAGGAUCUCAUCAAGACACAGUACUACUCUACUACCAUUGCCCAUGCGCCGCCACACGCGCCGGCAGCGUUGGGUGUCUAAAGCGAUUACGCAUCGCCGGAAAAUCUCAAAACCACGGCUCCAAACUCCUACCCUAGGUAUAACACCCUAUUUGGAGUCACUUUUGUUCUUGGACCUACCCCAAAAACUGACCCGAAGUGGCCGGAAUCGUGAUCUAAAAACCGGCCGAAUUUCAAUUCGUAAAUCAAAUUGGCUACGCUAAGAAUCGAUCCAAUCCUACCCAACAGGCAGCUAGAGCAUGAAAAAUAGGUGAGAAACCAUACCAUGCUCGUCGGAUUCGGUGGCUGGAGGAGGGAGAUCGACGGCAGCGAAGAUCGGACGACACCGGCCGCUUCUUCUCCAUUUUCCAGAGAAACUACAGCGGCUGGAGGCGGGAGUCGGCUGGGGCUGGAAGAGGACGACGCCCCGGUCAUUUUGGUACCGGCCCCAUCCACAGCCGUGGCCGGUGGUCGGAGUUGCGAGGAGAGAGAUAGAGGCCGACGGGGAGAGAGAGAGAGCUCGCAGGAGGGAGAGAGAGAAAGAGAGAGAGAGAGAGAAAAAAAAAAUCUGAUUUUUAUAAAAAUCCCAUUUCGAAAUAAUUACGAUUGUGCCACUGGAUUUCUUUUGACCAUAUCUCUCUCGUUACAACUCCGAUUCGAGCCCACUAGCUGUCUACAAACUCAUCUCAGUACAUCCUAUCCAAAAAUACUAGUCACUGCCCCAAACUCUCUCCGGUUAAGAAAGUGACCAAAAUGCCCUUAUCUCAAGGGUAAAUUUAUAAUUUCCCUUAAAUAAUUUAAAUAACUUAAAUAAAGGUUAAAUUUGGAGUCGGGGUGUUACAUUGAAAGUCCGAGGAAGGGAAAAAUUGAAAAGCCGACUGAAUAAUUUAUCCAAAUUUGAUUUAUUCAUGAUAGUCGUGGACGAAAGUUCUUCCUUCCAAACAAUGACGACAUAAUCAGUCAAGCAAGAUAGCAACCCAACAAUACCUCUUGAAGUUGAACCCAUAAGCCGGCUCUAGUACAAACCAGACCCAACCCAUAACUUGUGCAGGCUGUAUGCUUAUGGGUCCUCCAAUAAAUGCGUGAACCUGUAGCUUUUGUUUUUGUUGUUAUAUGACCACUAUUAAUUAAAAACUUGUUUGCAUGCAUGCUGUAGCUAAUUUUUUUUGUUUUAAAAAAAAACACGAGUAGUAUGCAAUUUUUCUCUCUUUUUUCCUUUGAAGUUUUUUAUUUGUUUUAUUUAAACACAAUAUGUUACGAUGAGUUUUUCUUAGGGCAUAAUGAUCACGGCCUUGGGUGAACCAUGACCGAGUGGUUGAACCAUUUUAUAAGAAGGGGUAGCUCACAUUUGAAAUUUUUUUUUUUGGAGCUCAAAAGUUGUGAAAGUUGAAGUCCUUGCGGCCUGUAAUUUCUACUUGUAGAUCUAUAGCGCCGCUCUGUGUUGACACGCCACUCCUACUUGGUUGCCCGUUACUUACCAGGAGACGACAUCAGAACCCACGUUUUAGAAUCCAAUUCAAGUUUUAUUUUUAAUUAAAAAAAUACAAAAUUUAAAAAUAAAAACGUGUGGGCUUCGAAAUUCAUUAUGGGUCGGGUUUCACCAUAGUUUGGGUUUCGAAAUUGUGAGCUUUGGGCUUCAAAGUUUUUUGGGUUUCAGUUUGCGGAAGCCUGUGUGAUUAGGGGUUACUGUCUCAUUUUUGUUUGUUUGUUUUGUAAUUUUUAUUUUUGUAUUUUAAUUCUUGUAUUUUGUGAUUUUUAUUUGCUUUUCAUUUGUUGUUAUGACAUUACUUGUGGCUAAUUUUUAAACAUUGAGGAUAAUGUUCAUUUCUAGGUUUGGAGGUAUUAGAAUUUAGCAAGUAAUUUUGAUUUAUUUUUUUUUCAUUUUCAUUUUUUUUUUCAGUUUUUUUUUUGAGUCACUUCCUAAGUACAUAUGAUGAGAUUGUGAUAACUGUUUGCACAACUUAAAUGAAAAUUGGAUUUCAUUUUAUUUUAUUUUAAAAAAAACUAUUUUAAUUAAAAAAUAAUUUAGCAUCAUUCUAGCAUGAUAUGUUUGAAACCUUCUUUAAACUUGCCAUUUGUUUCAUAAUUUUCCAAUUAAAGGAUUUGCAUGAUCCAAAGAAUUGUAUCAAGCAUAAAGUAGACUUAUAUAACCAUUUAAAGCGAGCUUUUGAGCCUUGCACUUCAAUUCAUGAGUGUUAUACACACUCUUAUUUUCUUGUCAUCUAAGUUGUUGUUUGAUCUCAUUAUUCAUUGAUUUGAUUGAGCACUUGAAAGUCAUUCAUUCUUAUACAAUUUAAUUACAUGACAUUUAAGAAAUGAUAUUAAGGCCCUCUUUAAUCGUUUGUGCCUUUCAAGCUAACCUUAUGCAUGAUUUUCCAUUGUUAACCAUUCUGAGCGUACAUGUAAACCUUUUCUUUCAUUUAACCAAGGCUUAUUUAUGUACAUGCCCCAUGUGCUUUCAAAGUUGUCUCAAAUUACCACAUGUGCUUUGAAACGUCUCAAAAUACCCCUUACACUUUUAAAAACUGUCUUACGUUACCUGUUCCGUCAGUACUAAGAGACGUUCUGUUACAUGGUGUGGGCCCCACUUCUUUUAAAUCGCUUAACAAUGGAGAAUAAGAGUUAUUCAGUUUCAGAAAAAGGGGAAAUUGGGUGAGAAGGGGAAAUUGGGAGAAGAGGGUAGGGUUUAUGAAAAUAUGUCUAGGAUUUUUGGUGCACUAUUCUACUCCACUAAGGUGCUGCCCUCCUCAUCACUGCCAUUUGAGCUUAUGCACAGCAGGGUUUGGCAGAUUCAAAACCCUAAGGAUUUCAUUCUGUCAGUGAUCCAUCAAUGGCGGGUUGAAGGGGGAGACGUGAAGCAGCCUGAGCUCCAAGGUUUCAUCAAGCGGCUCCGAGUGUAUAGUCGCUACGGCCAUGCUCUGCAGAUUUUAGAGUGGAUGAGUGAUGAACUAAAUAACCCUAGCCCUCUUCUUAAUCCUAGCCCUCUUCAUCCAAUUUCCACUUUUCUGAAACUGAAUAACCCUUAAUCUCUAUUGUUAAGCGAUUUAAAAGACGUGGGGCCCACACCACGUAACAGAACUUCUCUUAAUACUGAUGAAACAGGUAACGAGUUCAUAAACAUGCGGCACGCCCAAUUCCGAGUUGUAACGAAGGAGCAAACGUCUAGAAACGAAAAGGAUGUAAUGGUAAUUUAAAAUUUGCUACAGUACCCUCGACUUUUGGGCCACCACUGCCAUGGCUGGCCACCAAAUCUGGCGGAACUGGUAUCAAAACGUCAAGCGCGACUUCCUCUUCAUAUCCCACUCCUUCGUCGCCCUAGCCGCCGCCUCGUAUCGCCGGCAUAUCAAAAAAUCCGAUCGGUUUUUACCCAAAAGUUCCAUCACUCGUUUCGACGAUUCUGGCCACCAAUUUCUUUGAACUAAGGAUGUUUUUUCAUCCUCUCAAUGUGUUCAAGCUGAUGGUUGGAUUGUUUAGGAUUAAUUUUUGCAUUUUGAAACUAAAUUUAUUGCUUAAAGUUUUGGCCUUUUUCUGCUCGUAAUUCAAGCUAAUUGCGGUCACUUUUGGCAAUGGUCCAAACAAAAAUUUCUCCAUUCAUUGUUCUGAUCAUGUAGGUAUAGGUCUUGACCUAUGGUUUGGAGAUUUUUUGAUCUCCAGAAUCGCUUUGGUUACCCAUGCGUUGUGGCUGUGCGUGGGCCACUUUGUGGUGGAUCUUUGGGUUCUAGAUUAAUCUCCAUGUCAUCCCGAGCACGAUGGUGUGCUCGGAUUUGAUAUUGGUUAUCAUUUGACCGUCAAUCAGAUAUCGCAUAUUGGGUGUUAUCCGGGUUCGAUAUGGUCAGACCAAUGGAUCUAUUCCAAUUCAAAAUAUGUUGAUCUAGGCAUCUCUAUGAUCUUGUAAGAAGUCGCGGAUCGUGAAUCGGAGUCCCGAAUGCUCCAAUUCAAUAAUUUAAGUUUAGGAUAAACGAUAACCGUCUGGAAGUGCACAAGGACGCUAGGUGUGCAGUAAACAAGAUUAAUAAUAGUACGGACGCUCUUUAUCCAUCCAGGGAGCCUAAUUCCUGCAGUUCUGCCGAUUUUGACGCUUGGUGAAAGGCUAGAUUCCAAGGCUUGCCUGCCUCCAGCACUGCACUGAAAAUCCUUUUUUAUGGCUGGGAUUCCUGGGUCGUUCAUGCAGCAGAGGAAACUCACAAAUUCAUUGUGCAGACCAUCAAGGACAUCAAUGCUCAAGUUAUAGAAGGUAGAUUCUCAAUUCUAUAUUUUACUCAUUCUACCUUUGUGAUGAUGCCUAAUACUUUGUUCUGUUUGCAUCAGACCCUUCCUCGACAAAGAACAUAGGUGGACAGUCUAUUCAGGCUGGAGAGGUGAUUGGUAAGUUUUUCAUCAUUCUGUUCCUUCUAUUACUUUCCUGCUGGAUUGAAUUCUGACUUGUCUGUUUCCUGUGCAAUCACUUCUGUCAUUUAUGUUGGGGACCUAGAGCUUCCCUCCAGAGAUGAAGAGGAUGAAGCUCAGGCAGAACAACCAGCUAUUGAGGCCACUCCUUCUGGCAGAAAGAACAAGAGAAAAAGGACUGCUUCAGUUCAAGAUAGUUCUGCUUAUCCUGCAACUUCCGGUAGAUUUUGAGCGUUCAUAAUUCUGUUCUGCCUUGUUUCGCUUAAUUCGGCUCAUGUUCUAAUCAUCUUUUGUCUGUUUAUCACAGCUGAAAGUCAUUCUCCUCCUCUUACUAAAUCAAAAAGACUUAGGAAGAGAACUAUGGUGGAGUAUGUGGCCAUGGAAGAACCUGCAGCAGUUCCCACCACAACUUCUAGCACAGAUGAAGAGCUAUGUGAGGCCUUCGAGGUGGUAGAGCAAGAGAAAGAGCUAGAAGAAGAAGAAGAAGAAGAAUGAGCUCAAGAAAAGACGAAAGAAAUGAAAGAUGAGGUGAAAUCUUGUUGACUGUAUCAGUAAUUUUUGUCUUUUGAUUUCCUCUAUUCAGACUUCUGUCCUUCUGCAAGAGGAAAUCCCCGCUGAAGUAAUUGCAGAGAGCAUUGCUUUAGCGCAGAAGCAGCAAGAGACCCCAAGCGUAAAACUGACCAGCUCAGAGUUGGCUCUUUUUGAGGAUGCAGAGGCGGAACAUUCUACUGCCGUUCCAGUAUCUAAGGAGCAGGUGGAACAGUCUGUAUCAGAACCUGUGGAUAAUGCAGAACAACCCCAGAAGCUAGAAUGGAAGUAGCUGCUGCUGUUCUUGAUCUUAUGGUAAUUUUUAUUUUAACUCUGUGCAUCUGUUUCCAGCAGUUCUACCCUGUCUUUACUUCUUUAACUAUUUGGUCUUUUCAGGUAGAAGUGCCUAGAACUGCUGGGGUUUUGGCAAUGAUGACCAGUCCUCUGAAGCCUCCGAUUAUCGCUGUAAGUACUUUAUUCUUUUUGGAUUUUCCCUUGAUUCCAAAAUUUUGCGUAGAACUGACUUGAGUUCUUCUUGCAUAUGCCCAUCCAGUCCUUUCCAGGUUCAUCUGCCACUGCUUCCUUUGCUGAUUCGGAGUUGGCGGAAUUUGAGGCUAUGGAUCUGGAUGCCCAGCUAGACCAACUAGAAAAAUUCAAUUCUACCCCUGGAAAGGCCAAGUCCAAAGCGGUUGGCAAAAUGCAGGGAGGUGCAGAAUAGACUUGGUGCUGGAUUGAGUUCCAAGACCAAGGCUACCUUUCUUGUGCAGAGUAUGGUUUCAGCUUCCAGGCCAGCCUUAGAGAUUGCAGAGGCUUCAAUCCACCAGGGGGUCCUGCUCCAAAAGGAACUCUCGAUCAAGAAGAUUAGCUUGCAAUAAACCCUUAGGAAAUUAGGGUUUUAAUUUUAAAUUCUGACUGUAAUAAACAAUUAGUCACGAGAGUGACUAUAUUUAAUAAAAAGUCAUUUAUUUCGUGGAACUUUUCGUAUUUGCAACUCUUGUCAGAAUAAAAGGAAGUAGAAAUAAUAAGAGAAAGACUUAACAAACUAUAAUAAAGGAAAAAACACUGAACAGAAAUUUAAAUGACAGUUUCAUUUUGUUCCUUCUCUAUCCCGGGAUCUGUUGGAUAAAAAAAUUUCAACCACUUGCCAUUGAUUGAUGCAGCGUGAACAUCUCCAUCUCGACCCUGUAAUCUGUAUGCCCCCAGUCCAAGGAUUUGGUUAAUUAUGAAAGGACCCUCCCAUGUAGGUGACCAUUUUCCAUAACUAGCUAUAUGUGUUCCAAGGGGCAAAACUGCUUUCCAGACUAUUUCUCCUUCUUCAAAACUCUUAUUUUUCACUCUCUUGUUGUAGGCCCUUGACACAACCUGUUUUCCUGCUAACAGAUUGUUGAGGGUAUCAAUCCUACUUGCAUCCAAUCCUUCUAGUUCUAGCAGCAUGGCUUGAGAGUAGUCUUCUCCAAUCAAACUGUGUUGAUGGGCAAUUCUGAGAGAUUGGACUGCUAUCUCCAUAGGCAGAAUUGCAUCAUGGCCAUAAGUUAGGGCAUAUGGGGUCAUGUCAGUUGCUUCCCUCUUUGAAGUCCUAUAUGCCCAUAGGAUUUCUGACAAUUUCUCAUGCCAGUGCUUUGGAUUUUUCUCAAGCAUUUUCCUGAUAAUAUUGAUGAUCAACUUGUUACUUGAUUCUGCCUGUCCAUUAGCCUGAGCAUGGUAAGGACUGGAUUGAAGUAGCUUAAAUUUGAAUGCUUCUGCUAUAUCUAGCAUCUCUCCAGAUAUGAAAGAAGAUCCCCUGUCUGUUGUGAUUGAUUUUGGAAUGCCAAACCUUUAUAUUAUCUGUUCUUCUAUGAAGGUGAUGAUCUCUUGAGAUGUAGUGGACUUAACAGGCUUGGCUUCCACCCAUUUGGUGAAAUAAUCUAUAGCUACAAUGAUGAAACAGUUUUGUUUGCUGCUGGCUGGAUAAAUCUUGCUGAUGAGAUCCAUUGCCCAUCCCCUGAAUGGCCAUGGCUUGACUACUGGAUUCAUGGGAACUGAAGGAGCCUGCUGGAUUGGACCAUGCCUUUGACAAGCCUCACAUCCCUUGGAAUAAUCAAUGCAAUCUUUCAUCAUGGUUGGCCAAAAAUAGUCAUACCUUCUAAUUAACCAGCACAUUUUUCUCCCACCUUGAUGAGCUCCACAAAUUCCUUCAUGGGUUUCUCUCAUGACCUUCAUGUAUUCUUUCUUUCCAAGGCACCUUAGAAGUACCUCGUCUUUGCUUUUUCAGAUCAAAUCUCCAUUCCACAUAAGGUAAUUCAAAGCCAUGAUUCUGACUCUUUUUUCGGAAGCAGGGUUGGAUACUGCAAGUAAUUUAUGAUAGGAUUUCUCCAAUCAUCUUCAGUGAUUAUGGCAGAAUUGACAUCUAUCUUCAUCCCUCUGGUUAGAACAGAUGGUAGACUUUUCUUUCCUACCUUGAUGAUCCUUUGCACACAGUCUUCAAGCAUUUGUAUGCAUGUUGCUACUUGAGCCAAUUCAUUGGCUACAAAGUUUUCUUCUCUUGGGAUAUGUUCCCAAGUAGCCUCCCUGAAUUCUAUCAGAAGGUUUCUAGCUGCCACUAGGUAAACAGCUAAAGAAGGACUUAGACACUUGUAUUCUCCAGUAAUCUGUUUUAACACAAGCAUAGAAUCUCUCAGGAUCUCCACAGAUUGGAUCCCCAAUUCCACCAGCAUUUCUAGGCCAAUGAUCAAAGUCUCAUAUUCAGCCCUGUUGUUGGUGCAUUGGAAAUAUAACUGGAAGGAAUAACAGUGUCUGAUCCCCAGUGGUUCUUCCAAAACAAUCCCUGCCUCAAAGGCUACAUCAGUUUUUGAUCCAUCAAAAUACAGCUUCCAAGGUGUGAGGUGAACUAAAUAGAUGGGAUUGUUAAGGCAAGUAUGAGCUCUAGUCAGCAGAUCUGCAUUUGCUAUGUCCAAAGAGUCCAUGUUUUCAUUCUCUUUUCCUGGAUGAUUUGCUAGGAAAUAUGCUACAGCUUGUCCUUUGACAGCUUUCUGAGGAACAUAUCUGAAAGCAAACUCUAUCAAAUCCAGUGUCCAUUUUCCAAUUCUGCCUCUCAACAUCGGUCCUAUUAGCAUGUAUUUGAUCAGGUUCGUCUUGGCAAUGAUGUAGAUGGUGAAUAGUAGCAUGUAGUGUCUGAGUUUCACAGUAGUGAAGUAUAAGGCUAGACAAAGCCUUUCAAUUGCAGAAUAUCUCCUUUUUACUUCUGUCAGAAAUCUGCUCAGAUAAUAGACUGCCUGUUCCUUUCCUUCCUUGUUAUCUUGAACUAACAGACUCCUAAUGGAUACUUCUGAUGCAAACACAUAGAGUUUGAGUGACCUGCCUCUCUUUGGUGGGGACAGAACUGGUGGAUUUGAGAGGUAAUGUUUGAUUUCUUCCCACUUAAACGUCUGUUCUUGUUUUAAUCUUAGCAAGGAGGAGAAGGGCUGGAUUUUUCCCACAGAAUUAGAUAUGAAUCUCCUUAGAAAAUUAAUUUUUCCUAGGAGACUUUGCAGUUCUUUCUUGUUUCGGGGUGAUAGAGCUUCUAUGAUGGAUUUCACUUUGUUUUUCUCAAUCUCUAUGGCCCUUUGAUGGACCAAGAAACCUAAGAAAUUUUCUUCUUGAACUCCAAAAACACAUUUCUUGGGAUUCAUUUUCAAUUUAUGUUGUCUCAUCCUUAGGAACGCCUUUCUUAUGUUUGAAACGUGUUCUCCCUCUUUUGGGGAUUUAAUCACCACAUAAUCUAUAUACACCUCCAGAGAAUGUCCUAUCAUAUCAUGAAAAACAGAGUUCAUUGCUCUUUGAUAAGUAGAUCCUGCAUUUCUUAAGCCAAAAGACAUUACAGUGUAUUCAAAAGCACCUAUAUGUCUUGGGCACAUGAAGGCUGUCCUAUGGAUGUCUUCUUCUGCCACCAUAAUCUGAUUAUAUCCUGCAUUGCCAUCCAUAAAAGACAGCAUUUGGUUAUGAGCAGCUCCAUCUACUAGCAUAUCUGCCAUUGGCAUAGGAUAUUCAUCCUUGGGGGAUGCUUCAUUUAGAUUCCUGUAAUCCACACAAAUCUUAACUACCCCUAUUUUUCUCUUCAGAACUGGCACAAUAUUGGCCAGCCAAUCAGCAUAAAUGGUUAGUCUGAUGAAUCCUGCUUUGAGCAAUCUCUCUAUUUCUUCCUUGACUUUCAGUUCUGUCUCCAUAGACAUUCUUUUUCUAGCAUGUUUGACUGAAAGGUAGCCUUCUUUGAUUGGCAGCUUGUGUUCUACCAACUUUCUGUCUAAUCCAGGCAUCUCAUGAUAAUGCCAAGCAAAACAAUCUCUAAAAUCGUGCAAAAGUGCAAUGAUUAUACUUUUGAGUGGCUCCUUUAAUAAUGCACUAAUGAAAGUGGGUCUUGGAUCCUCUUCUGUCCCUAAGUUUAUCUCCUGCAAUAGAUCUUCCACUUCUGGCAAAGAGUCAUCCAGUGCUGCUAGUGCAAAAUCUAGUAUUUCCUCCUGCAAACUCUCUUCCUGCUCUUCAGUUCUCUCAUGGGUGAAUUUUGCCAUAUUGAUGGCUGGAUCCUGCAUAAAGAGCCUCCUUUCUUCCCAAUAUAUCAACAAUCUUUUUGUAAUGGAUUGGAUUGUUGCAGCUCGAUCCUUUUCCUGUUGAUUGGGACUAAACAUUAGAGUUCUGGAGGUUUAGAACAAAAGGACUAUUCCAGUCUUCUAGAGAACUGGCUAAACCAUCCUCGAUGAGUCUUUGGGCCAUGACACCAUGGGGGCGGCCGUUCUGGUUGACUCCAAGGAAUGUGAAAGGACCAAGGUCAUUGUGAUAAUACCUUGCCUCAAAACACAUGGCAGAAGGCAGAAAUGGCUGUGGAUCGGCCUCUACUAUCCCUAUGUAACCUUUUUCAUUCCAAAAGGCUAGUUGCUGAUGUAGAGUGGAAGGAACACAUAGACUUUGGUGGAUCCAGUCCUUGCCAAGCAAUGCAUUGUAAGUGGUAGAAGUGGUGUCUACCACAAAUAAUGCAAUCUUAAGCUCUUUGGUUCCAACUAUGACAUCCACAUCCAGGAUUCCGUGAGUCUUAGUGAUGCCCCUAGCAAAGUUGGUGACGGUCAGGCGUGUCGGAAUCAAAUCUUUCUCUGUUCUGCCCAUCUUGCUCAACAGUCUAUGGGGUAAAAGACUAAUGGCUGCACCUCCAUCUACCAUUACCCUGGGAAUAGGAAUACCCCCAAAGUUUGCUGUUAUAAAUAGAGGUCUGAGAUGAUUAGCCAUCUCUUUGGUUGGUUUGGAGAAGCAAAGCUGUUCUGCAGCCAAUUUCAUGGUAGUUCCGCAUGUCUUGGCAGUAGGUUGUCGUUGUUCUGGUGGCUCUUCUACCUCUGCCAAUUUGCAUUCAAAACUUUCUUGGGAGAACAUGUCUCCUUCCAGAGUGUUUUCUUGUCUUUCUGCCACCCUAAAAUUUUCUAGCAAAAUGAACACCAUGUUGAUGCCUAGAUCACCCUACAAUAGACUUUCUAAUUCUACACCAAAAGCCUUGGUUUCUUCAUCUAGUUCUCCAUCAUACUCCAUCUGUUCUUUCCCAUACUCUUAUGUCCAGUCUUCCUGUUCUCCUGUUUCGAGGAGUCCAUUCUGGUCAUCUGCAGAUGGUUCAUAAUCCAACUGCUCCUCUUCAUAGUCUUCAGUCCAGUCUUCUUGUCCUUCUAUUGGAAUAGGUUCAGAUUCACCUUGUAUUUGCGAAGGUUCAAGCUGAUUUACUGAGGAUGAGGCAGGAUGGAUGGAAGAUCUGCCUGGCGAUUCUGUUUUCAUCAGCUCUUGUUGCUGAUCUGUUGUUUGUUCUGUCUGGGAACUAUUUCUGGACUUUUCCCUCUUCUCGCAGAACUGGUCCCUAGAAGUACCCGUGUGUCAUCCCUGUUCUUGAAGAAGGUGCAGUAUUGUAUUUGAACUCUCUUUUUUUGAGUUCUGGUUAACUCCAAAGUUAGUCUACUGCUUUUUUCAACAAAAUACCAUCUGCCUUCUAUAAUAGUUGCCAAGGGCUUGUCAUUUCCAGGCAUCUUUAUUGGUUUUUCUUUCUUUGGCUGCUCUGCCAUUCUUCUGCUGCGCUGAGCAGGCGUAAGAUAGUCCCUCUGUCUAGUUCUGUCUUUAGAUGAAACCGAGACUAGACUGUAGGUAUGACGUCCCGAUCCUAUCAAAAACGCUGGGUGUGGGCUAACUCUGCCUGUCCAGAGUCACUUCUAAUUCACUUUCACACUUGCACUUGCUGCACAGCACUACCCCAGUCGAGAUGGUUGCCUUUGGCCUUGGACUAGUCUCUCUUGUGACUCUUCUGCCUUUGCCGGAGCUAGCUUCUGUUGCUGGUUUGCCUCUCUUCUAUUCUGGCCAAUUUAAGUUGACCAUGUUGACUUGAGGUUGGGGAAAAGGAUCUGUUGUAACUGAAGGAGGUUUUUCAGCCACUUUUAGCCUUCCUACUGUUAUUCCUUCUUGUGUGACGUCUCUGAAAACAACACAACUGUUGGUGGAAUGGUUCCAAGAGUUGUGCCAUCUGCAAUACUGUCUGCUUUUGAGUUCUUCUAUAGCAGCAUUUCAUCAAACAAAGCAUCUACCUUGGUUAGAUCAAAGGAAUAGACCUUGUUCUGUGUUGGUUUGUUUGGAACAAACCCUCCUGUGAAUGGUGGCGGCUUCUGGUCUUUUGGUGGCUUUGUAAGAGCCUUGCAAUUGAUGGGAUGUUUAAGCUUUGCCAUUUCUGCCACUGCAAUUUCUCUCUCCUUCGAGCCUUCUGUGUCUUCUUCAGACUCUACUUCAACCAGAUGUAUUAAAGAAGCAUGAGUUUUAUAGUAUGUCCCUUUGGAAGAGUUCCUCCUCUAUUGUUCUUCCCUGAAUAGCUCCUCAUAUUUAGAUGCCUUGUCUACCAGUUCUGCCAGAUCUCUAAACAGCAUCCCAUUAAAUCUCUUUCUCAUAGAGAUUUUAAGGGUGGUUUGAGCCAUCUAGAUUAAGUGUCUUUCUUUCAUAGGGAUUCAGCAUUUCAUUUUAAGCUUUCUGAAUCUGAUUAUGAAGUCUUGGGCAAGCUCAUCUUCACUCUGUUUGAGGGCAGCAAGAUCACUAAUGGUGACUUCUGGCUGGAUCCUGAAAUAGUAGUCAUGGAAAAUAUUUUCCAUUUGCUCCCAGGUUUGAACAGAGUUGGUUGGUAUACUGGUGUACCAGGUGAAGGCUUGUCCAGAGAGAGUUUCCAAAAAGUCUCAGUUUUAACAAAGGGUUAUUCUCUAUGGAUAUGCAUUGGACAGAAAACCUGCCUAUGUGCUCAACUGAUGAAGCAUGGGGAUCUUCUCCGUUGAACAAAGUGAAGUUUGGCACCUUAAAACCCGGGGAUAGAGGUAUCUGAUCUAUGUAAGCCGAAUAUGGUUUUCUGUAGGUGGGCCUUUCUCCUCUUCUAGCUUCUGGCUCCAUCAUUUCCCUAAUCAUUCUUUGAAGUGCCCCCAUGUCAUUUAAAGCAUUAACAGGGGGCAGAUUUCGUCCUUGUUCUGGCUGGACGUGGUCAAUCCUGUGUUCUAUUCUGUAUGGCUUGGGCACUGCUUCCUCCCUGUGUUCUUCCUCUUCUUCAAAAUUUGGAUGAUUCCUCCAGUUUGCUCUCUGUCUGCUCCUGUCAUUGUUGGCAAAGGAGUUGAUUCCCCUUCUGCCUCUUCUGCCUCUCGCUAGUGGAGGGAAUGGAUUAGGAUCCAUCCUUCUAGGUCUGUACGGCGACAUAGCUGGUGCCUUAGGCGGAAGUGCUAAGGGCUGAUCACGUGGGGCCACAGGUUGUGGAAUAAGUGGAGGUUAUGGCUGAUUCUGUGGAACCUGAACUGGUACAGGGCCUUCUGGUCGAACUAGACCCUCCUGCUCUUGAAUGGGAAGGGCUCAUCCCCUCUGUCCAGCUUGGAUCUCUCCAUGCCCUGGUAUUCCAGCUACAUGUGCUAUGAGAGGGUUCUCCUGGUAUGGCCAUGCCAAUCCUGGUGGAGGGCUAUACGGGAAGUCUAGCUGUUGGACCAUUACAUCUGAACUGCCUGUUAACUUGCCAUUGCAUCAUGGCUGUCAUGUUAUUCAGAGUAUCCUGGCUCCUUUGUGCUGUGGCCUCUUGUCGGAAUACAGCUUCUUGCAUCUGAUUCAACCUCCUGGAGCCAGCUCUGGAACGUCUGCUCCCAGUACUGCCAUGGGCUGACUGUCUGGCAUCACUUUCUUCUGACUCCAGUCCUUCUCGAAGAACUACUUGGUCUCUCUCCAUGGCAUAACGAGGGUUCUGGCUAGAACUCCCAAUAUUCAUAUACUUUUAGAAGGCUUCUAUAUGAGUAUGUAUAUUGAGAAGUCCCACUAGGCGUGCCAAUUGUUCACCCGUGUUAAGUUUGCUCCUGUGAUGGAAGGGUAAAGUUUCCUAUUGCCUUGAAAAUCAUUAACUGGUCAACAAGUCAACUUUCUUUAGUGUGAGCGUGUCACUGCUAGUAAUAAAAAUCCUAGCAGACUUCUUAAAAAUAGAUAACUUGCACCCCAAGUUACUGACUUCUAAACAAGCGAUUGUGAAUUUGGGUGAGGAAUAUUUCCCAAGUAAGUUCUUUUCUUGCCUCAAACUAGUGAGGACUUCAUAAUUUUUCACAAUACAAACUGGUAGUUCUGGCCAGAAUAAAUAACAAGAAGAUGAGCUGUUUUCAGGCAGAACUGACUUUUACAAAGCUUAACAGUAAAAAAAUCAACUCUAUAAAGACAAAAAGAAAGCUAGACUUCCAUUUCUGCCUGGAUAGAAGCUUCUGAUCUGGGUUAGAUUGGGUAUGUCUGUACUGGAUUGGACUGUUCCCAACUUCAACUGCUGAGCUUCAGCUGUAAAUCGAUACCAAAGUUUGAGUUUGGCAGAUCUUUAAUCUAUUUCGAGUCCUAUGAGGCUUUUUGAACGGGCAGAAUUGCGGCCUCCUCAGUCUGAAAGGGGCGGAAGUGGCUGGACUAUGAGAAUUACUGAGCUGGAACCGUACUGUAGUACCUGUUCUACUCGAUCAGGGCUCUCCAUAAAUUUGUUGAGGUUUUCAUAUUUGUAAAAACCAGAACUCUGCUUGUUUUGGCUUUUGCUGAACCAAAUUCGUAACAAGAGAAAUCUCUUUUUGAAUGACUUAUUUCUCUAGGUUUGAACUGGAAGUUCUGAUUUGCUGCUGGCUUCUUUUAUGGCUCAAAUGAGCUUUCGGUUGCUUCAGUUUGUUUGAAAGUUCUCAGAGAUCAAGUGAUCAUUUUGAGUUUUUGUCUUUGGUUGAUUUUUUGGUUGUUUGAUUUGAUUGUCCUCAACCUGUUCACCCUCUCCUAUAUUUAUAAGAAUGUUUUUUUGGAGUAGGGUUUCUAAUUCUUUUAAUAAUGGGCGGCAAAAAACUCUCAAAAAGAUCUCUCAUCUUUAAUUGUAAAGAAAAGGGAUUCCAUCAGUUCUGGCAGAUAAGCCAUCAAUGGUCAGUUUUUAAAAUAAUCACUUCCCUAUUUUUCUUGAAAGAGAACCAAUCCCAUCUCUAAUUCCAACUGCCCCCCCCCCCCCCCCCCCCCGGUGCGAGCUCAAACUGUGAGGGUUAGUGUGACUUUCUAUUUGAACAACUCCCUGUUACCUGCUUAUCUCUUUUGAGAGUAUAGCCUGCGUAUCUUUUGAAAAGAUGGUGGCUUCCCUGGAGCAGAAACAAUAUCUCUUAUUUAUAAAAAAAGGGUUUUGAUCUUUUAGCCCCAGAGUUUUAGAGAAGUCUCUUUGCAAAUGACGUGCUUUCAUUUAAUUCUCAAUCAACUCUUUUGCUGAAAUUGUUGACUUUCUAAAUCGGUUAGUCACGUGGGUUCUGAGACUAAUCUUUCCAAAAGAUCUUACUGACUCUGCACUCUGGGUUUUUGAGAUCAGUGGUGAGCCAGAAGCUGGGCCCCAUUCAAUUUUUUAUUGAUUUGUUUCAAUGGUCUGAUUGCCCAUUAAUCUCGAUGUUUUUACAACUCUGCCAUUUUGUAAAAGACAUAGGCCUUAUGUUUUGGUUUUGGGCUUCCUCUUACUUUUGAAUCAAAGCCUAAUCCUCCCUUCUUCUUUUUUCUGUUUUGGAGGCCUUUGUGAAAAAUGGGCUUGCGUGCGAAUUUCUUUUGGCCCAAACAGGAUCCAGUGAAUUGAACAAGGUAAAUCCAUUUUUUUUAUUAAUCUCUAAUUGUUGUAUUUUUUAUUCACUAAUUUUAAAUUUAUUUUAUCAUUCUAUAGGUAGACCUAGCAAAAACUCUGUACCAUGAGAACGGCCCUCCUUUUCAUUUGGAACAUUAUUUUGCAGUUCUAAAAUGAAGGUAGAGAUAGGUUUGAUAAAGUGACGAUAUUUAUAGGAAAUCAAUGAUAUCUGAUAUGAGAAUCAAAUGGGUGAGAUGAAGACAAGAGAAUCUGAUCCAACAGUCGAAGAUGAGAUCAAAUUAUAUCAUGUCAUAUCUUGAAUUGUGUGCAAAUCAAAAACAAUAAUAAAUGUUGAAUUGUCUGCAAAAACGUGAUAAGAUACCAACAAUUCAGAUUAAAUGUACUUUAUAAUCCAACAAUUCUUUUUGGAUGAAAUCAUAUCUUCUCUGAAUUUAAAUAUUUUUAGGUCUAUUUGUUUGAAAAAAUAAAAUUAAACUAAUACAAAAAAAAAUUAUAAAUUAAACACAAAAUACAAAUUUAACUCAAAAACAAAUUAAGACAAACAAAUCAAUUAUACAUCUUUAGAUUUACAUAGUUUCCCAUUGGAGCAAAAAAUGUAUUUACACCCCCCCGGAGGUGUAAAUGGUGUAAAGAGGAUGUAAAAGUGGCGUUACAACCCCGAAAAUACACCCCAUACAGUGGUUGUAAAUGUGAUUUUUGCUCCAAUAGGGAAGAUGUAUAAUUGAUUUUGCUCAUUUUUGUCCAUCUUUUCUCACUUUUUCUCAUGUAGACCUGCAAGGAAUGUAAAAAAGGAUGCACAUGUGCAUCUAAAUUUGCAUAUCACGGUUGUGAUGUAAAUUUAUAAUUGUUUACAUCUCCCCAUUGCAAAUAAUUCCGAUCACAAAUGGUGUAUAAUUAACAUACAUUUUAAUAUACAAUCCUUCAUUGGAGAUGCUCUUAGUGCAAAUGCAUUGUGGAGGUGUAAAAGGAAAUGUAAACCCACUUCUACAUCUUCAGUUGUCGGAAAGUGUUGCGGUGGGCAAUUAUACAUGGGGGGUGUAAAAGUCUUGGUUUUGUUUAUUGGGAAGCCAAUUUAAGUGGCUUACAAAUUAGCUCUAUUUGCUUUCCGGUCAACUGCAACAUUUUAUGGUAUGGAGUUCCUCUUCGUAUCAUACAGAAUGCUCUAGUACUACACAUUUCCAUCAUUUUUUAGAUAUUCAUUUUUAUAAAUUUAGAUAAUAAAAAAUUGUGUGGUUUUGUCUAUUUAAACCACAACACUUUUUGACAUUUCUUUAUAGAACAUAAAAUAAAUUAAAGAUGCACAUCAUUAUUGCUCUAUCCAGAAGGGAGACCAAAAGAGGGGAUAAUUCAUACAAGCAGAAUCUCCAACAAGAUUCUAAUGUGAAAGCUUGCUUUUGUCAACCAUCCAUUUUUUAAGCUUUUGUUUUGUUUCUAGUCGUCUUUUGUUUUGUUUUUGCCGUAGAUGGCGGCCUAAAGCAGCACUAUUAACUGAAAGGUGCACCUCUAUUUCUCCACUCCCAAAGGCGGAAUUGUGUUUAGGCUGCCCUGGGCUUUAGCACAGUGCAGGUUUCGGCCCAAGUCUUUUUUGCCAUGUAUAAUUAUUGGGGCUUGUCACUAAUAGCCCAUCAAAACUAGCUUUAAAAAAUUUAGUGGGCGUAUUUUUGCUCAUCACUUUAAUCAAUGUGUACAUUCACCAUUAUUUUCAACACUUGACACGUGUCUAUUAAUAUAAUCAUGGUUCCAUAAAUACAAAGCAAAGAAUUAACUAUGGUUAUGCCAAUGAACACGUGUCAAGUGUUGAGAAGAGUGAUGAGAGUACACCUUGGGUUAAAGUGGUGAGCAAAAAUAUUUCCAAAAUCCAGACCAGCUCUAAUUACAACAACUAAGUCAUUCUAUAGUGACGACCUUAUCUAAAACGUUAAUUCAACGAUUAAAAUAUAGGGCCUCAUUUAAGAGCUUUAGAUAAAACCCUCACUUCUUUCAAAUAAAUAACAUCAGACCCUCACUGUAAACUCAAUGCAACUAAAUAAUAAAUACUCCCAGGUACAACUAGGCCCAUAAUACUGGAGCCCCAUUUUUAAGUUAUUACAUCGUGGUUAUUGAUUUGGAUUUUCUACUUUUUUUCCCGCCUUUUUUAACAAUAAAAUUAGCCCACUCCUUUGAUCUUGGUUCUUCCCUUGUUAAUGUCACAAAGUAUCCUGUUGUGACUGAGUAAUAAAAGUCACAAAAUUAGAGUGGAUAUUAUUUCUCUUAUGUCUUGUGUCCAUCAAUUAUUAACAUGUAAUAAAAAGGCAAAACAUAUAUUAAUAUUUGAGUGUUGCUAAACGAACCUUAAAAUUAACUGAGUACAUCCUAUAAUCUAAAUACACCCUAAUAUUUUAAUUAAAAUAUAAAAUUAACUAAAUACACCCUAUUUAACUACCAAAAAUACCCCCGAUACACUCUAAUACACUUUAUUACACAAUACGCUAAUACCAAUCUUAGACCAAAUUUCUCUUUUACAUGAAUUUAUGCUUUCUUUUCAGAUUUAUUAAUGUAUUGAAUUGAACUACAGAUACAAAUAUUGAACUUAUUAUUUGGUUUCAUAAGUUAUAUGAAGGAAUUUUCAUGGGCCCUCAACAUAUUAUUUGAAUCUAAACGAGAAAAGCAAGUCUGCAACAUACCCACAUGAUCAUGGAUCUCUUCAAAUCAUCAAUGUUAAACAACCCAGAAACUACUUCUUUUGAAGAACAAAUUAAAACCAAUUUCUAGAGGAAUGUUACAAAACCUUUGGGCCCAUGAAGAACAAAUGAAGACAGUAUAGCGUAUUUGAUAACAAAAUCAAAAUGAGAUUUAGCAAUACCAGACGAUCACGACGCCAGUAUAAUGGUACGAUGAUGUCACACCUCGGACCCGAGGGUAGGUGAAAAUCCUGUGCCCAACGUAUGGGAAAAUAAAAAUAAAAUAAAAUAAAAAGAUGCCGAAACAAUGGUUUAAAAUAAACUUCUCUUAUAAAAAUAGAUCCAAAAUCUUAUAACUUUACAAGAAAUAAAUAAAGCUCUAUCACUCUCGUCUAAUUUAGCCUCAACUGGUUUAGUCCUUUUCUUGUCCACUAAUUCAUUCGAAAAAUUAAACAGGGUGAGGGGUGAGCAACCACAGCUCAGUAGGGACAUGAGACCUUACCACAGUAGAUUGAUAUAACUAAAUUAAGUGACAUGCAAUCACACAACCAAAUAUCACAUUAAUAAUAAUAAUGCAUGAAUGCUCUUCAAUUCUACCCAACCCGUUAAUUUAUAUAAUAGGGCAAGCAAAUCUGCAUGCCCCAUACAAUGCAUUUUACCAUUGUGAUUCCGAAUGCCUUAUUAUAUAAACUAACACCCAUCUCAGUCAUCCCAUAAUUCCCCUUUUAUUAGUCGUCUUGUCUAUACCAUUGAUCUCCAAGCCCAAAUCACCCAAUCGACAAUUAUACCGCCGAUUUUCUAGUCUACUGUGCACACGGGCUCGCCUGGACUUGGUCCCUAUAAUGGUCAAACUCAACUACACAAAAGACUAUUUUCAUUACCCUCUUUUCCAUUAAUAUUUUCUCAAUCCAACAACUCCAACCAAUCUCCAUGACAUGAUAUAAUUAUGCCAACAUUAUUCAAAUAGUUCACAAUACGUAAAUAUCUCAUAUCAAGAACAUUAUACAAUAUCAUAUAUAAUAUAGAGCUCAUGAAAUUUAAUUAGAUCAAUCUUUAUAAAAGGUCACCAAAAAACCCCUACCUCAAUUCCAAAGCAUUUAUUCUCUCUCUCUCUUCUCUUUGCACAACUAUGCAUGACAACAAGUAAUGAAGUUCCUAUUUAUACUAGAAGAAGUCGGUUGCUAUCCUUCUAUCAUUGGUUAAUACUCUUAGCGGCAACACUUUAGGAUAACAAUAACUUGAGCUUUAUCUUCAAUCUUGGCAUGUCCCGCCACCUCGCAAGAAUGGUGGCACCAUCUCUAGCUACAAUACUCUUGAUCCAACACCUCAUACUAGAGAGUCCACCUCAUGUUUCUUAUGUCUUUUAAGCCUUAACUCCUAAGUUUUCAAUAAAAUAUAAUAUAAUUCAAGAUAAGAUAGGUUUAUUCAAAUCUAUCACUCACUUAGAUAUCUACCCAACGUGCACUCUGCUAUGCAAAUAAUAAUAUGGGUUUAUAUAUAUAUAAACUAAUAGUGAAAAUUGCACACAUAUAUAUAUUUAUAUAUUUAAUGAAUAUAACAAAUAAAUCUUCAAAUUAUAUAAUUUUAUAAAUACGGAAUUUCACAGACGACGAUGUUGCUGUAACGGUGGAGAAGCGGAUGGUAUGAUGACAGUGUUAGUGUGAUGGUGGAGGAGACGAUUUUAUGAAGGAGGCGUUGCUAUGUCCAGUGGAGGAGAAGACGACGGUGUUUCACGAUUCAAUAUAUCUUUUUUGGUCAUUUUAUAUUAGGGUAAAUUAGUAAUUCAAUAAAUAGUUUGGUAGUAGGGUGUACUCAAUUAAUUUUAGGGGAAUGCUAGCAACCUUAUCUUUUGGACCUUCUCCCUUUUCCACAUAACAUGUGUCCUUUUUCUUACACGUAAAACAAUGUAAUUAAUGCAUCAAACAACCUAACAUUUGUUUCUAAAUCUACCCUUAUUAAAUGUAUUGGUUUUUAUGUUUCCUUAAAUUUAUUAUUCAAAUUUUUUACAGCUUUCUUACACCUUGUUAAAAAAUUAAAUAAGAAAAAAAUUUAGUUUUUUUUUUCCUUUUCUGUAAGACUCCAACAAAUAAGACUUACCUAAUUAAUGGUUUAGAAAAAAAAAUUAAUAAUUAAACUUACCGAAUUAAUGGUUUAAAAAUGCAAUCAAUAAACUUCCUUAGAGCAUCUCUAAGGGAGAAGUCAAAUGCAAAAUUUUAAAUUUGAAUUUGAUGGCUUAUGUGGCAAUUUGACACUUUGAAAAAAUUUAACUCCACCUGAAAUGCCAAAUAUCAUGUUAUUUUAUUAUAUUUUUAAAAGCAAAUGAGACCCAUAUGAUGCAUAAAGUUUUAAAAGAGAGUAAAUGUUAAUGGGGUCUAUGACUAAAAAAAUAUUUGACAUCAAGCUUUUUGUUAUGUUAUUUUUGACAUAUCUCUUCUAGCCUUCAAAUCCAUGUAGGAUUUGACUAUUCGGUUGGAGCAACAUUAACCUUCAAUUUUUGCCAUUUCAUGUCCAUGUAGCAAUUUGACAUAUCGGUUGGAGAUGCUCUUAGAGCACUUCCACCAGUUGACUCUUGCCAUGGCAAGAUUAGCCCUAGGGCAGGGACUAUUCACGUGAAUAGUGGCUGCCCUAGCCCCCUCCAGCAAAAUGUGUUUCCAGCAGUUGGGGCUUGCCAUGGCAAUUACUAUUCAUUUUUUUGUUUUUUUCACAAUUUUGUUUACUUAAACAAUUAAUUUGGAUAAUAUUUUCGGAUAAGAUUUUUGGGUUCCUACGUGUCAAUACUAUUCAUAUCGGAUAAGAUUUUCGGUUUCAAAUUUCAGAUAAAUUUCAAAUUUCAGAUAAAUUUCAAAAUUCAAAUUUCAGAUAAAUUCAAAAUGUCAAAUUUCAGAUACAUUUCGGAAUUCAAAUUUCAGAUAAAUUUGAAAUUUGAAAUUUCAUUUGAAUUUCAAAUUUCAGAUAAGAUUUUCACCCUCUAAGAUUGCGCCGCAUGUCAUAUCUAUCUGUGUACAUUUUUCUAUAAAGUCAGAGGUUCAGCUCAUACCUCCCACACCAGUUCUUCUCUACAUUUCCAUUUCUCAAAUUUUAGAUUUCAUUCUCCAUUCUCAAUGGCAGACAUGGAAGAGGUUUUGGAGAGGCAAGAGCGAGAAACUAGAGAAAGAAUGCGUAGACGAGCUGCAAGCAAAAGGGCGCAGAGAGAACUAGAUGAGCAACUUGGCAUAGCAGUUGCUUUGCUGGAGGAAGAAAAGCAGGCUCGCCGUGGUUCACGAGAAGGCCGUCGCCCAAAUGUGGACAGACAUAGACAUUCCCGGGGUAAGAAUCUUAUGGAAGAUUAUUUUAUCCCACAAUCUCUGUACUCUGAUGUUCAUUUUCGAGGGAGAUAUAGAAUGCAACCCCAUUUGUUCAAUAAAAUCAUGCAUGAUAUUUGCAAUUAUGAUGAAUAUUUUGUUCAAAAGAGAAAUUGUGCUGGAAAUUUGGGACUUCUUCCAGAGCAGAAGUUCACAGCUGUGAUACGAAUGUUGGCGUAUGGGUCAUCUGCUGAUCAGGUGGAUGAGAUUGCUCGGAUGGGGAAGUCCACUAUUUUGGAGAGCUUGGUGCGAUUUUGUGAUGCAGUGGAAACUCAAGUCCAUUUCAAUUCUCAUGGCUUGGUGCUUUGAAAGUUCCUCCAAAAAUUGAGAUGCAUUCUUGCUAGAAUUACUCCCUCUCUUCGCCUUCGCCGCCUUCCUCCCAAUAGGCCUUGGCUCAUUUUCAAUUGGUGAGUCUAGAUUCAUCGGGGAAUCCAUAGAUGAAUCCGAUGCCGGAGUCUCACGAAGUGGAGUCUCGUUCAAGACUACCGUCGGACCGGUUGGAAUAAUUUGGAAUCUCUUACAAGUCUUCACCACCUCCCAACAAUGGGUAUGGUUGAAACUUUUUUUCCCUUGGCCAGUAGCACCAAACCACAUUUGUGCUUGUAUAAUCUAUAAAAAAAAUGAAAUGGAAAUGCAAGAGAAUUUUUAAAAUAUUGGCAAUGCAACAUGUAAAAAAAAACUAAUGGAAAUUAAAGAAAUAAUAAAAAAAUGCAACAUGUAUUAAAAAAAACUAGAGACAUAUUAACAAAAUAUAUAAAUUGCAAGAAACAUUUACAUAAAAAUUAAUAUGACAUAGAAAUUAAUAGAAGAAAAAUGACAAAUAAUUUACCUCAUUGCUAAGAUUUUCUCCGCUUCGAUGGUUGUCAAUCGCUUUUGCUAAGGCAUUUCUCCAUUUCCCCAACUCUUUAUUAAGAACUUUCCACCUACUGGAUAAUGCCAUUUCUGUACGUGUAGAACCAAUUGCCCUUUCACAAAAUGCUUGAUGAAUUUUUUUCCACAUAUGAGAAAAUUUAAUCUCAUUGCCCGUUACGGGACAAUGACUAACUUGGACCCAAGCCUCACACAAGCUAACAUCUUCCAUCAUGCUCCAUGCCCCUCCAUUUUCAUUAGAAGAACCCAUAAUAUGCUAGAAAAAAAAUUACAACUUCAAAGUGAAAAAAUAUUGAAUAGAAAGUGAAUAAAAUUUGAGGAGAAAGUGAACAAUAGUAGAAGGAGAAGAAAAUAUAUGAGGAGUUGGUGUUAAAAGUGAAGAGUAUUGGUUGGUAUUUAUACACAAAAAAUUCUGUAAUUUUUGUGUAUUUUUUUAAAAAAAAUUCGAUUUUUUUUCAAUUUUUUUUGGCAGAAAAAUUGGCUGUCGUUGGAUUGAAGAAAAAAUUCCAAUCGGAGCGACCAGGGGCCGCCACGUGUCAAACAGCCGUUGGCAGCACUGUAGCGCUGAUGUGAAUUUUUUUUUAACGUUGGCGCGUACAAUGCACGCGCCAACGGUAAAAAAAAAUUCAAAACUUCAGGACUGACGCCAACUAUUUUGUCCCAGCCUUCAGGCCCGAGCUCGGGCCGAAUUUGCCUUCAGGCCUGCCCGUUUUGGUGGCCCCCACUCUCGCCCGGGCUGGACUUUUGCUGCUGGACUCCGUUUUUUGCCCAAACCCCCCCAGCCCGAGUUUUUCCAGCCCUGCUGGAAAUGCUCUUAGAAGGACGUCUUUUGUUUGUUUAAAAAAACGAUAUUUCUUUUGUGGAAUUUUUUUUGAGGUCAUUCUUAUGUCUUUUUUUUCCCUCUAAAAAAAAUAGACAUUUUCUUUUUUUAUUUUUAUUAAUCCCUGAACUUAAACCUGAUUUGCAUUUGAGUUCCUCAAUUUCCAAAAUAGUUCCUGUGGUCCCUUAACUUCAAUUUCGUUAGGACAAAUGGUCAUGUCAUCAAUUUUGUUAAUUUUUUCUGUUAAAUGCAGGGGCAAAAUAGUAUUUUUAUAUUAAAACAAAAAAAAUUAUUAAAAAAAAUCAUGUCUUUAAAACACCAAUAAAAUCAAAUCAAAUAAAAAACCAACCAAAAAAAAAAUCAAGUUUUGGGGGAGUAGAAAUCAGGAUAGAGGGGGAGAGAGAGCGUUUAGUUUUAAUUUUAUAGUUUUUUAAAAACUUUAUUCAUAUUUUAAUCAAUUUUGAUACAAAAAUUCCAUUUUCCCCUGCAUUUAACAGAACAGUUAACAAAAUUGACCGCAGAACCAUUUGUCCUAACGAAACUAAAGUUAAAGGACCAUGAGAACCAUUUUGAAAAUUGAGGAACUCAAAUGCAAAUCGGGCAAAAGUUCAGGGACUAUUAAAAUGAUGGGUUAAUUACAGUUUAGUAUCCUAUAGUUACACCCUUUAAGACAUAUUAGUCCUUAUGUUUUUAAUUUUUACAAUCACAUACUCCGAUCUUUUAAAUUUGUUACAAUGUGGUUCUGCCGUUAGGGUUUCAUCAUAUAUCUCCAUUAGUUGCUUACGUGGCACUAUGGGUCCCACAUUUUUUUUAAUUUUAAAUUAAUUAUAAUAUGAAUACAAUAUUAAAAACAAAAAAAUUUUAAAAAUAAAACACACACACACACACACACUCUCUCUCUCUCUCUCUCCUCUGCACUCUUCCCCUCCCUUGCCGAUUUCUUCUUCCCCCAUGAACACCACCCGCAAGCUCCAACCCUCAAACCCAUCCCACAACCACCCUCCACCCCAGCCUGCAACCACAGUCCUGACGAACCUAGAACCCUAGCGCCCCCACCAUCCACCCAGCUCCCAACUACAAAAAAAGAGAAAAAACAAAUCAUCCCCUUCAAGAGGGGAAAAGAGCCACGAACCUGUAAAUAGCACCAAGCAAGAUUUAGCAAGCUAACAAGCCAAAGGUGUGAAAAUCAUAUUUUCUUUAUCGAUUGUUGUUGAUGCUCAAAAUGGCCCGGCCAAUAUUGAGUCCAACUUAGUGAUGAGGUGUGCGAAGUCUUCAGCAGAAAAGAAGGUCAAGACCUUUGGUAAGGGAAGAACCUGCAGAAGACAAAACGGGAGAAGCAAUCGUUAAGCUUGGGACACCGGUGUGGUGCCAGCCGAAGGCUCUCCGAUGCUUAAGUCAGCUACCAGUGGUAACUUUGGCAGAGUAACAGUAAAGGUGAGAAAGUAGUUACCCUUUUCACUUGGGUACUGUUCCCUAUUUAUAGGGAGGUGAAAAUGGGACGUUUGUACAAAGUUUCAAUGUGGGACUUUGUGCAAGUCGCCGUGGUGGCGACACGUGUCCUGGGGAUUAGGUUUGGAAUUGGGAGCUUCGGCAAGUGUCUGGCACCUCGGAAGUGUGUCUUCCUUUGGCAAGGAAGAAGGCGUGGCUGCCUUGGUGCUAGUGGCUUUGAGGCUAGGUAUGCUCGGUUGAUUAUGUUGUAAACAGUAGUCCCCCAAGUUCGCGGUCAAGAAGUAACUUCUGGGUUGGGAACUUGUGAGUUUUUGUGGGAGCCGUAGGGCAUUCCCUAAUCCCCCAAGUUGGUAAGCUAGGAGUUGCGUCAACACAUGGAAUGUACGAUACAAGUUGUGUAAGCCUCUAGGACUGUUGGUAGCUGGGCAUUCUGCAAGGAGGCUGGGAGCUGGGCCCUUAGGUUUUAGGGGCUAUGCUUCAAACACCGGAAGGAUUGGGUGAGUCCCUUUUUGCUUCAGCAGGCCUUGCCGUUUGGCAAGGCUGUUUCGAUAUAUAUACUUUUUUUUUUUUUUUAAAGCUGGGAAGCUAGACCUUCAGCAGGCUAAUGCUUUGAAAAUUUUGGGGGCUCCUUUCGAAUUCCACGGCCCUUGCCGUUCGGCAAGGUCCCAGCCUUUUGGUGAGCUAAGAUCCCAGCCCUUUUUUUUUUUAGACAGUUUGGGGUCUAAAUUGUUUCGGCAAGGGACCAAGAUGCCCUGGGCUUUCGGCUAGCAAGGGCUGGGCCUCAGAAUAAUGGCCAAAAGUCUGGGCUUCGGCAAGUCUUUGGAAAAGGUGGAAUCUGGGCUCCACUUUCAGCAACGAGGCUGGGCUAUGGAAUUUUUUAGACAAAAAGCUGGUCUUUCAGCUCGCCAAGGUUGGGCCUCGAGAUUUUGGCAACAAGGCCCUAGGGUUUGAAGGGGAUGUUCGCAUUUUCUUUUAAUCAAAUCUGCUGUUCGGCAAGGUCAAAUUGAAAGGGAGCUGCGGUGCUGCUCUGCAAGGAUUUCAAAUUCAUUUCCUUGGGGUUUCGGCACAUAUUCCUUCAGCAAGGUCAUUAGAGACCCGAUUGUUUUUGUUCAGCCCUUUGUGUUUUUGGCAAGACCCACGAGGGGGGGUGCGUCCGCCUGCUUUAGCAAGGCCCUUGUCGUUCGGCAAGGGCUGGGUUUCGACAAGAUCUUCGGCAAGACAGUGAUUUUGAGCUGGUUUCGCCCGUCACAGCUUCGAUAGGAGGGUGAUGUUGAGCUGAUCCCUGUGUUGGAGGUUUAGCAAGGGUGGUUGCACCUUCUUGAUUCCGUAGUCCCCACUUGCUUCCGCGUUGCCCUUGCCCUUUUUUUUAGGUCUCCCCUUCGUGAGAGCUAGGUGCUGUUUGAAAUUCGGUAGGUGGCUUGAGCAAGGUUUUAUCGUUCGGUGGCACAGCUUCAGCACUUAGGUUUGAAGCUUUCAAGAACUGUCAGUGUGGGACCUGCCGAUCGGCAAGUAUCCCUUGUGAGUUUGGGAAACACCCACCUUUCGGCAGGGCUUGGUGUCUUCAACCCUUGUCGAACGAUAAGGGCCGUCUGGAGUAGAAAUUUGGGGGCCACUCAAGGAAAUUUUUCACCGUUCGGUAGCACACCUUCGACAGUUUUGGAGAAUAAUUUCAGGUAAGGUCUUUGGAGCUGAGUUACUAUCGUUCCACAAGAGAGCUGGGCAAUUGAGGCUUGGCUUUUGGCAAAGAGUUUUGGUUUCGUAGCCGAGGCUGGGUCCUCCGAAUUUUUGUCGUGUGCUCUUUUAUUUCUGCUCGGCGGCAAGACAUGGGGAAUUUGCUAAGUCUUGACUCAACGAGAGUACUUCUGUCGUAGCUUCAGCAUAGUAUCUAGGAGUUGGGCCCUUGGAUUUAUGUCAAGAACUUUGGCAAGAUAGGGCCGAGAGGUAUUGGAGCUAGGCCAUUGGCGUGGUGGUGGUGCCUAAUCCCUUAACAAGAGCACGGCCACCCUUAAGUACGUGUCUCCAGGUGUUUUAGUGCAGGUGAGUUUGGAACUGGGCCCCUUCGGUCGCCACUUGGUAGCUGGGCCAUCCCUUUGCUAAAGGUAAAAAAUUUUGUGACCUUCCAAAAUAAUUUUCCAUGGGACUUUCCGUUCAGCAAGGCCAGCCUAUUCAAGUUGAAAUGGUGGUAAUUGAUUAUUGUGUUCGUUAGGUGGUCUUGGCUUGGUAGCCGGGCCGGCUUUGGAGCUGGGCUAUUCUUUGACAAGGUUAAGGACUUGGCGCUGGUUCAGAAUUGGACUUAGGCAGCCUUCCACCGAGGCACCGUGGGUUUGGGUCCCUUGUGAGCAUAGCUUCAGCACCCUUGGGACUUGGCUUGAUUCGGCAAGGAGGGCUUGGAGUUGGGUAUCUCGCGUGUCUUCCUUUUCCUUUCACACGACCCUUGCCGUUCGGCAAGGGUGUGGUUUUUUCUUGUGGGCUUUCGUGGACUAAGCCUUUUGGCAAGGGGGUGGGCUGGCCUGAAGUUUGAGUUGGGAAGGCAUAUUCUAAAACCUUGGGACUGGGGCCUAUGGUGUGUGAAGUGAAGCUGGGCCAUUCGGUUUGGGAAGGUUAAGGUGAAAAUUUUCGAGGCUUCCACUUAUGUCUGCACGGGCCUUGUCAUUCGACAAGGUCCUUCCAAUAUCCCUUCUCGUUUUUUUUUUUUGUUUUUUUUUUUUGUAUUUGAAUUUGAAUUUCGAAAUGUGUGUAGGUACAAGAAAUAUUUGAGAGGGAAGUGUGAAGGCGCUAGGGUUUUCUCGUGAACCUAGGCGUGGGUACUCUUGGUUCGUUAUAAAUAGGAACUUGGGGUGGCGAAGACACCACACUUGAGUUGUGGAGAAAAAUUGCUAGAAAGUGAGAAGGAGAAAAGAAGAUUUCUGGCGAGAUUUGGUGGUGGUGCUAGUGGCCAAGGUGAUUUCCGGUGACUCUUUCGUGGUGGUGCAAAUAAGGUUAGACCACAUUUUCCUUGAACGUUUUGAAUUGAAAUGUCUUUCUUUGCAUGAACAUGUUGAAGGCUAGGAAGAACACCUUGAAUAUGAGCAUGAACCUGAUGAACACUUUGAGCAUUGGUAUGAACAUGUUGAAUGCUAGCUUGUACACCAAAGAACAUGUAGAUUUGCCAAAUUUUUGUGUUGUUGUGUUUCAAUCCUCCUUGCAUGUGCAUGAACAUGUAGAAUUGAAAUGUCUUUCUUUGCAUGAACAUGUUGUAGAUGUCUGAAAGUUCUGAUAGAGAAAGUCAUGACCCCCCUGCCUUUGGUGGGGAUGACACUGAGAGUGAAAAGCCCAACCAAUAUCUUUGUUCUGUAGAGGAGAGUUCAGAGACAGAGGGUGUGGUAGAAGGUAUUAUAGAAAGUAGGAUGGUAGAGCAUGAGGGUGAGAGGGGUGAGCCAUCAGUAGACUCCGGGUCAGCUGCAUAUAGGGAGAUGCAGAGGAAUUAUAUAGAGUUAGAGGCUAUAGCGAACCGGGUUCUUACCUUGCCUCAUACGCUAGAGGUGGGUUCAAGCAACCAGGCAUCACCAUCGGGGUCCGUAGGUAUAGCCGUGGCUUUAGUUUCAGAGGGAGUAGACAUUCAGGUUGGUGUCCCUUUGGCGAGGCGGAACACACAUACAGAAGCAAAGUUGGCCCAGCUUUGGACAGACUAUUGUGUUCCACCCUAUGUGGGCUUGAGGUUACCCACUGCAGCUGAUGUAGUUAGAUAUCCUUCGGAUGGCUCUGUGAUGAUUUUUACGGAUAUGUACUGGCAUGGCUUCAAACUACCAUUUCAUCCAUGGGUACAGAUAAUGUUGGCCAAGUUGAGAUGUGUGCCGGGGCAGUAUAGUCCCAACUUUUGGAUUCUUCUACAUGGAGUGUAUAUCACUUGGUGGCUGGCUGGGUUGAGGGAGCCAACAUUUGAGCAGUUCAUGUACUUGUACUCGGUUUUGAAACAACAGGGAAGUUUUGGCUGGGUACAAGCCAAUUGCUGAAAGGCGAAGGAAAGAGGUUAUUUUAUUAGUCACAAGCCAUCUAUGCAAAAGUUCUAGAGGAACAAGUGGUGCAUGGUUUAUGGUGACUGGGAGUGUUCGUCAGGGAAGACCGUUACCCAACACAUUCCUACCCACUUCCAGUCUAUAGGUCCUUGGCCCCAUCCCUUAAGACUGUUUGAUGUUUGAUUUUGUUUUUCCUGUUCUCACUCUUGGUUCUCCAUUUUUGCAUGUGCAUGUGUAAAUGGCUAAGUGGUAUCUAACCUUUAGUGCAGGUUCGGUGAAGUCGGGGCCGAUCUCCAAGGAGCAAGAAGACGAGGUUGAGAGGGUGAGGUUACAGUUAUCAGAGACCGAGCGUGAGUGUCGAAACCUAGUCAGCCAGAAGAAUAUGUUGGAGUAUGGACUUCUGCAAGGAAGUAAGUACCUGGGUCACUUUUGUUGUGUGUCGUCUAAUUCCUUUGUGGUUGUGACUAACGUAGUUGUUUUAUUCGUUUUGUUUUUUUUUGACAGUGGCGGGUAUUAUAAGAGGGAGCACGAAGGUGGUAGUGGAUAUUGAUGAUGCCGAGAUGCAAAAGCGGCUAAGGGAGUCUCGGGCCAAGAAGGCAGAGAAGGGUACUGGAAAGUGCCCCAGGGAUGAUGAUGAGAGCCGGGUUGCUGACGUGCUGGGAAAGAGGAAGGCCUUGGAGGAAGCUCAUCAGCAUGUGAUGGGGGCAGGGCCGAGACUUCCUCCCUUUGAUCUGCAGGCACAGCCGAAGCUCCUCUUCGGCAUGAAGGACAUUUUUGCUGAAGGGGUAGAGAAGGUAGACUUUGGCAAGCUACGUCAGCAGAAGAAAGAGGUGAACUUAGCCACGCACCGGCAAGAGGUGCCCCAGGUGAACGUCUUCCUGGAAGGCGCGAAGAGUGACCCCGAGGCUCUGGCGAGGACCUUGGCCUCUUCCUAUAUAGAUCGGGCCCAGAAGACGAUCCUCACUUCUGCCUAUAUAAGUUGUGACUUUGUUUGUGAAUUUGUUCGUAUCAUUCUUGUUUGGUCUAACUGAUGUUGCUUUGUUUUGCAGGCCUUUGGCGAGAUGUAUGUCAGCAUGGCCAAGGCAGAUAAAGAGAUCCAGAAACUGAAGAGGCAUGAUAAGAUGGCCAAGAGCAAGAUGGUGGAGGCGCAGGAGGCCAUCCGAGAGAAGAACACCUUGUUGUUGCAAAAGGCAGCCCUAGCCAAGGAGGUAGAGGAGCUGAAACGGUCGAAGGCCGAGGAGGUAGCUGCUGCUGCCCGAGUCGAAUUCUUAUGGUAUGAGACUUGUUGUCAUGUGAUAUCAGCUGUGCUAGCAAAAUGAUAAUUAUGUGAGUGAUAGGAAUUAGCCAGAGUCAUGCAUUUCAUUCAAAUAGGUGCCGAAAGGCAGAGGGUACAAGAGUUAGUUGAGUCAAGGCUCAAGACUGAAGUAUAAGAGAACAUAUUGUCCUAGGCUCUAGGUAUGUUUAUUUAUAGUAGUACUUGAGGUGAUCAGCGUUCCAAGGAUGAGGCAAUGUCUUGCCCUUGGGAUCACGAAGCGGAUAAGUGCCGGGAUGACAGAUUUUGAUAAUCUCAUAAGGACCUUCCCAUGUGGGGCCUAAGGUACCUUCAGUAGGAUUUUUGAUGGCUAAGGAAACCUUGCGCAUGACCCAGUCUCCCAUUUUGAAAGCACAGGGCUUGACUCGGGAGUCGUAGUAUUUGGCGAUGCGCUGUUUGUACUCGACAUUGCGCAUGUUGGAUUGGUUAUGGAGCUCGUCAAUGAAGUCGAGGUUCAAGGCUAACGGCUCGUCAUUGGCCUCAGCAUCAUAAGUGGAGGUUCAGUAUGUGGGCUGGCCAAUCUCCACUGGUGCAACGGCUUCGAUACCAAAUGAAAGAGAGAACGGCAUUUCUCCUGUGGAGGUACGGAAGGUGGUGCGGUAGGACCAGAGAAUUUCUGGGAGUAGCUCUGGCCAGCAGCCCUUGGCUUUGUCAAGUUUGGUCUUUAUGGUCUUCUUGAUAAUUUUGUUCACGGCUUCAACCUGGCCAUUGGACUGAGGAUGGGCUGGGGAGGCGAAGCAAAGACGGAUCUUAAGGUUAGAACAAAAUUGUUUGAAUUUUGCAUUUUCAAAUUACUGGCCAUUGUCUGUGACGAUGGUGUUGGGGAUGCCGAAGCGACAUACGAUAUUUUGCUACAUAAAGGUUUCGAUACAGGCUGCAGUGAUGGUGGCUAAGGCUUCGGCCUCAGCCCAUUUGGUGAAGUAGUCUACGGCUAUAACUGCAUACUUGACUUGGCCCUUGCCCUCAGGCAUCAGUCCAAUGAGGUCCAGUCCCCAUUGGGCAAAUGGCCAAGGACUGACCAUGGCUAUCAAUGGUUCAGUUGGGAGUUGCGGGAUGUUGGCAAAUCUCUUACACUUGUUGCAUUUCUGGGUGAAGGCCUGGGCAUCAGUGUGGAGUGAGGGCCAAAAGUAUCCUUGGCGAAUUGCUGAAUGAGAACCAAAUCUAGCCAUACAAAUGUGUCAACAAUAUGAGCUGUACACUUGGCAUAAAACUAGGACAUAUAAGUCCUACAAUGUGUGAUGGCAUCUAAACCUUAUGUAGUGCAGGAGACAGUGGAUUGGUUUGGUUUGCCAUUUUGUUAAUUUGCUGGGUAACUGUUAUAGUAUAGUUGCAGUUUGUUGACUUUUUGAAAUCUGAUUUAUUAAUUCAUUAGUUAUUGUGAUGUUGAUUUAACGCUUGUGGUUACAAAGAAGCUUAUUAUGUAAUGCGAUUUAAUAUAAAGGAGUGACUUUUCCACGUUCAUUGAAAAAUAUGGAAUUCAUAUUGUUGUUGGGGUGAGGUGAGAAUGGGUGGAAAGGAUAGGAUUUUUUGCAUAGAUUUUUUUUUAUUUUAUAUUAUCAAUAAAUUAUUUUUAUAUAUGUGUCAAAUUAAUAUGCAGGAAAUAGAAAUGCCUCUUUUAAGAAAUGGAGGGAAGCAGUGUGCACAAGUUAAUAAACAAACAAGUGAACUUUAAAUGUAGCCAACUACACUAAACAAAAGCCAAGCAGAUUUUUAAAAAAAAUAAUGGUCAUCUACAAAAAGUGGUAAGUAAAGCACAAGAGAAAAACUCUAGCCGCUAAAAAAGAAAGAAAGCUUUAGAUUCGGGAAAACCCCGGAUCUUAUUGGAUCUCCGUUGUUUUUCGACAUUUAAUAUGGACCUAUGUCGAUCUACUUUUCUUUUGGCAAAUAUGUUGUCUCAAAAUCAGAACCCAACAACCUAACCAUUUUCAUGUUAGGUAUAUGUAACAUCCCAUGUAUUUAUCUCUCAAUGUGUACAGCUAUUUAUGCAUGCAUAUUUAAUAUAAAAAAAACAUUAACAAUAAUCGAAAAUGAAUGACUAUUUAUGUUAUCACACACAGGAUACUGAGGUGACCAAGGCACAUGCUUAAUUAGUUUUUCAGUGCAGAUGACUAGAAACAUAACACUAGUCAAGUAAGCACAAAAACUUGCCUUUCUGAAAAAAUUCAGUCCAAUAUAUAAGCUAAGCUACAACAAAAUUGUCUUUAACUUUCGAAAUAGUUGUAUGCGUGCAUGCAUCAAUUAAGGAAUAAAUCACACAGAUGCUAUGCAUGCACCUAACAUGAAAAAAUUUAGGUUAGGUGCUAUUUUUCUUUUUAACUUUAUUUCCUUUCUAGAAAAGAUUUUUAAGGUAAUUUUGCAAUAUUUGUUUGUACAUGGCUCGGCUUACUUAUUUUGUUUUAUUUAAAUAACCGUUUGAUAACCAUUUCAAAUUUAAUUUUAUUCUCCCUAUUUUUCUUCUAUUUAGCACAAAAAAUGAAAAAUGAAACUAAAAUUAAAAUGAUUAUGAAACUAAAAGUAAAAUGAUUAUGAAACGGGCCCUAAGGUUUUGAAAUCCUGCCAUUAUUACUAAACACAUCUAUCAAUUGUUGUUGUAGGAACAAUUAUUAGUUGCCCGCUAUUAGCAUGACAGCGCCGUUGCACUUACUUGAUAGUUUAAUAUUUUUUUAGGUCUCUGGUUCGAAUCCCCACGGUAUCAUAGUUUUGUGUACGUGUGAGAAAUCUUUUUUUUUUUGUAAUUUAGACUAUCACUUGUAUUAAAAAAAAUUUAAAUUUUUAAUGUCGUCCAAUUAUUACUGAAUACAUCAACCAAUUAAUGAUAUCGUUGUUGUCGUAGGCUGAUUUAUUACUUUCUUACAUAGUUGUCAAGUAUCGCCAUUAUGUUGACAAGUUCCGUACAUAGUUGUUACCCUCGUAUUUUAAUCCAGAAAAAUUAAAAAAAUUCUGUAGACACAUGACAAGUUCUGUACAAUAAUACUGUAGACAAUAGUUCUGAUAUUUCUCUCAUACAAUUUUUGUUGAAGUAUAUUUAAUCGUGGUGGUUAAUGGACCUGGAAACAUUUGGCCAAAAUGCACCUGUCAACCACAAUGGAAAUCUGCCCAGAUUGCAAAGCAAGCAGAUCCUUGACAAAACCACCCUUUACCAGAUAAAAUCAAACCUGUCAACAUAAUACCAAAUUGGCACACAGAUUCAAGCCCCUUUGUUUUCACAAACCACCCCUACAGAACAGUGCACUUCAUCUAUAAAAGCACAUGAGACUGGGUUAAUAUGUGCACAGAGCCACCAUCUUUUCUCCUCUAAUUUCUAAGUAGGUCUGGGCUUGGCUUCCAUAGAGAAGAAUAUUAGAAUGGUUAAGGUUUAUGAGGAAUAUGAUUCCCAAGGAGAAGAAGAAAAAGAUGGUCUGAAUAGGAAGAUGGUGUUGGUCUCAAAGAGCCUAAUGGUUCAGAUCAAAUAUCGAAUCGAUGAUUUACCAGAGGUAAAAUAUAUGUCACUUUCGUCAUUUUAUAUUCUAUAUUUAUCUAAUUUUUCACAUAUUUUGUGUUCUCUUGUUGUGCAGUGGCUACUCCAAAACAAAUUAGAGAGGCCAUGCAGGUUGAUUUAGCUCCCUUGUCAAGAGUCAUCUGCAGCUUGCUGGUGGGUUUUGAAUUCUUGUAUCAAAUUAAAUUCUUUUGUUCUUUGUUUUUAGAUUCAUUCUCCUUAACUUCCUUUGGAUUUGUUUAGUAAAUCAAAUUGGCAAUGUGAACACUCCUUUAUGAUACGCUGAGGACUUCAUAGCCAAUACAAUCAUGCUUUGAAAGAGCAAGACCUAACCUUGUUCAAGUCUAAUUUUGGAUGUGCACUCAUGUUCAUGCAGGUUCCCUCUUUCGCCACUGCUGUGCUGGACACAUACGAGAUGAGGCCCUUGAAGAAGGUGACCGAUAAGGUUGGAAGAAGUUGAGGUUACACUCCAAAACCAAUUGGCAAUAAGGGGAGUAAUCCAACUCCUUAUAAACCCUUGCUAGGUUGCUCAACUUUCCAAUGUGGGACUUUUUACCUUCACAUUCUCACAAAGGUAUCCUAAACAAGCUAAUGGUUGAGGUGCAAAGUGUUCGUUGUCGUGUCCCUCCUAAGGGCAAGACGUACGGGUUUCACAACAACUAAGUAACGCAUGUGGUGUAUUUUUUACAUGGUAUAUUAAUUAUGCAUCCAUUGUACGAUGAUGAUAUGGUUAGCAUCGGUAUAAAUGAAUGUAUGCUUGGCUUUCCAAUUCCAAUGCUAUGAAUUGGUGUUUGGAGGGAUGGUGUGCAAGUGGUGUAUCCUAGUGGAUAAGGGCUCGGAUUUUGGGUACAAAACUCUUGAGUGUUUAUUCUUGUACUUGUAUUUUCCCUGGUAUAAAGAAUUUGGUAACACCGUGGACGUAGGCAGGUGUUUUGCCCAACGACAUUAAAUUCUUGGUGUUCUCUUUUAUUUCACAUUAUCAUCAUCUUGCUGCAUUAUUUAGUUUUAUCUUUUCAUCAGUAGUUGCCGUGAUGAGGGGAAUUUUUAAAAUGAAAGAAAAACUUCAUUUAAUAGUCAUUCAAAUACAAAAAUUCGUUGCAACCCAAUACAGUCUAAGCCUUAUUAAAACCUUGCUUUGAAAACUCCCAGUAAAAGAAAUUCGGUCAAAGAAAAAAGUCGUUUAUUUUUGUAAUUUCAAAAGACACUUGCACUCUGGAGCAUGAAAAAGUACUAUGUUUAUCCUUAAUCUCUUGGAAUCCCAAAUUACAUCUCCGGUGGGUUGGAUGCAAUUAUAUGGGGAUGUAAAAUUGCGAAUAUAAUCUCAAACAUUUAACGUUAAAGUAAGAAGAUCAUUUUGAAAAAAACAAGAAAAAGGAAAAAACGAAAAAGGGUUAACCACACCAUUACUUUAUUUAUCGAUAUAACCAAAGUGAUUACAUCAUAAUCAGAUAGGAUAAUAGGACAACACCAAGCAUGGACCCAACAGAAAAGGGAUAUGUGACACCAAAACAAAACCUAGGAAUCUAACAUCCAUAUUUAUUUUUCCAACAAAAGUACUUGAACCCAAAACCAUCUAAAAGGGGCUCGCUAUAGCUCAUAUUAGAUGGAUGAGGUAUCACCUUCAUCAUUCAUUUUCAGGUCCAUUUCCUGCUUUUUCUUCUUCUUGAGUUUCUGUCUCAUCAACAUUAUUAGCCCCUUCCUCAAAAAAUGGUAUAAAAGAGUGUUGCUAUUUUCACCACAUCCCCCCUCCCUCAAAAAAUCUUAUUUCCCCACCCACCGUGUAAAUUUGAAAACACACAAUCUCAUCUUUACACCCAUCAUUAUUCCUAAAAUACCCAUUCAUCAUUGACGGACUGAAUGAACCCACCCCUCUAGUGCUAGCCCCUGCAAUCCCAUCCCCAGGACUCCACCAUCAUCGACUACAAAUGUAAAUAUAAG
rnacentral:lncRNA from 1 species